UUUGACCUCCUUUCCGUGAGUUGUCUGCUCAUGCCAUUGACCAUUUGGAGUUGAAGAUAUAUAGGGUGCAUGUUGAAGUAAAUAUCUGGUGGGUGAGGUGGGAUUUGUUCGGUGACGAAAAGAGGCCUAUAUAGCCUGUUAUCAUUUUUUCCUAUCAUUUGAAUUUUAGUAAUCCGUGAAGGCAUCAAUUAGAUUUAGGAUUGCUUUUGGCUUGAUGUGCAUUCAUUGCCUUAUGAUUCUGUGGUAUGUUGUUCACUUAAAUCACAUCCUGCAUGCAUAUGUUAUGUGCAUUAUUGUGCUGCUGCAAAUUUCCCAUGGAAAGAAUGCGGAUCUUGUUUAGUGUCAUAGAAUCUGAAAUUAGAGCUUUUAAAAUUUCUCGUACUUGUAUCUGAUGUGCAACAUUGCGAACUGUUCUUCAUUUUUCCUUGGGUCAAGUGAAUUCCUUUUUGAGUAAUCCCUGGGGAAAUCAUCUUUGUACAUGACUGGGGGUUUAAAAUAUUUUAGUUCUUUAUGAUUUGACUUGUGAAUAUGAAAUUUUCAGGUUCUUCACAACAUUGCUGUUGCAGAAUACUUCCAUGAUGGUUGUUCUGAUCCAGCGAAGCUGCUUGACGUGCUCAAUAACAUUAAGGUAAGACUAAGAUGACAAGUAAUUCCAUAUUCUGCUUGUUGGUUGGGCAAUAUAAUAUUUAUCUUCAUCGUAAAGUGUUUUUUUUAACCGUUUUAUUGGCAGACUGAAUGCUUAACUACGAUUAUUAUGGAGCAGAAGUGCUAACUAUUGUUGUUGAGGUCCUUGUUAUUAUAUGGAAAUCUCAUGCCAAUGUUGUAGAUUUCUUGGAACAAUGUAUAUUGUAUACUUUGUUCCAAGAAUUUGAGUCUUGGUUGCUCCCAGCCUGUACUGGGCAUCUUAGAUAAGGUUGCAGACAGAGUCCUAGGAUGUGCGUUGGUCCCCAGUUCCCUCUGUAAUGGGGCUGUUCCAAUUUGUACUGACUGGCACCAAGCAGGAUGGGGCCAUCACCAGUCAGUAUGGAUUGUUACCAACCGGGAUGUGCAGAAAAGUCACCUGUUAAUUUGCUGGAUCUUGACUUUAAGCCUUCCUUAGUUCACUUAUUGAAAAAUAUUAAUAACUGCUAAUUUGCUGGAUUUGGAUUACCUGUUAAAUGCCUAAUUAUGUUUCAAUGGUUCACUUAUUACUUAUUCCUAAGAUAACAUUGGCAAAGGAUUCUAUGCUUGCUCCAUAUUUAAGUGUUAGUCAUAAAUUUAAGGAAAUUUCAAGUUAAUCUCUAUACACAUUUAUUGCCGUCAUCUGCUCUACUUUUUGAUUGUUUAUCUGAGUUAGCAUAAUUAGUAAGUUUGAGAUGUCUUUGUGUAUUUGUUAUAUAAGAAUUGUUGAUACUUGGGGCAUAACCUUUAUUAUAUAUGUCUAUACUAUAUUGCGUAAUCUUCAUCAUAUAUUGUUUCUGUGUAUUUUUCAUUUUGUCAUUUGGUCUCUAGAAAAGCACAAGUAACUAUGCAGUUUCUCAAUGACCCGUUCACAUUAAUUUUGCUACAGUCAUUUUGUCUUGGACUUUUUCCCCUGGAAUUUUGAAAUUUUACUAAUAAUCCUUUCUAUUGAAUUGCAAAUAUGUAACUUUGGACCAAUUUAUUAACAAUCAUACAGAAGAGAAGUGAAGACCUUGUUCAUGCUUUGGUAGAGCGGAUGGAAGUUGGAAGCAAUAUUGAUAGCAAUACAACCUCAGGAUCUAAAGUGAAUAAUACUAUGCUACUACAAGUUUCUGCUCCAAAUACCAGCAACAUUAUUUAUCCAGAUGAAUGUGACACUUCUGUUAUAAUGCUGAACAUCGUAAGUUUCUGUAUAUUGAUCAUUUUCCUGAUAAUUUUUGUCCUAGUCAUGUUUAAAGGAAAAUUAAAAUUGGUUUGGUACUGACGCUAUUUCUUCACUUUGAUGUUCUCCAGGCAGUCAUUCUCUACCAUCUUCAUGAAUAUGCACUCGCUUUAUCAGUUCUAGAACCAUUGUAUCAAAAUAUAGAACCUAUUAAUGAGGUUUUACUUGCUUAAACAAUUUUUAUUUUAAUUCUUAGGUGCAUCUGCUUCCUUAUUUUCCUGAUAUUUUAUUUGUUCCUGUGCAGGCAACAGCUGUUCAUGUAUGCUUUCUCUUAUUGGAUGUUGCAUUAGCUUGCCAAGAUGCGUCAAAAGCUGCAGUAAGUUCAUACACUGGAGGUGCCACUGCUUUCUUUUCCUGCCUUAGUAUCUGUUAGGAAUUCUAUGAUGUGGAGCUCCAUAAUAGAUAUAGAAAUAUGCUUGAAAGCAUUAUAUUUGGUAAACUUUUAUUACAGUUAUUACAGAUUAUAUAUAAAGUAUCAAAGGAGAAUCUAUCGCUACUGUCUAAGCAUCUGCAUUGUUGACCUCCAGAUUUUUGUAUACAUCUGCAUUCUGCAUGUGCCCUUUCUCAGUUUGCUGCUUCUAAAAUAGGUUACAUGCUAUCUGGUUGUUAUUCAACAUCAGAGACAUUUUGUGGAAAAAUGCAUGGACCGGGUUUACAGUUUUGCACCUCCAUUGUCAGAAGCCCCAUGUAGAUUGCUACCUGGGAUUUGGUCUUUGAACUUAAUGUGGAUUUACUGGUCUUAUCAUCUUUGUGCUCUACAUUAUUGUUGAACUAGAUUGUUUCUCUAAUAGCAGUUCACAUUGCAAAUGAGGUGAAGCCAUGAUGUAAGUAGUAGACUGACUGAUGGUUAAUAAAAUAAAAAAAAGCUAAUUCGCCAUCUCAGGGUCUAUGGAAUCUUUUUACUGCCAAUAUGUGUCUUACUUAUUCCAUUAUUAUGUUAUGUUUGCUAGUAUUCCAUAAAUAAGGGAACUUAUAUUUUUGUUAAAGAGAAUAAUUUAAUUUGCUAACUUUAUUGGCUCUGAUAUGAGACUAUUUUACUGAUAUAGCAGGAAGCACCAUCAAAAAACAGUGCAAGAGUUCAAAGUACUUUAUAUCUUGUAUCGCCUGAAGCUUGAUUUGUGGACAUGUUGAGGAUGAGUCAUAAGUUAAAGCCAUUAUCUGAUAUUGUAUCAAUAUAGCAUGAAAAAUCAUUUGUCCCUAAUGCUUCUUUGUGAUAUGAAAAUGGGCUUGGGAUGUUUACUGUUUUUCUUGGCAUACUCAUGAUCUCAUUUACAAUUUUCCAUUAUAAUUAUAGAACUUUUGUUUAUGGCCAAAGAGGGCAAUCAAUGAUAAGAGGCUUCUGAUAUCAAAUUGAUGGGAUAUGAUAAUUGGACGAGAAUUUUAAAGGGUUUGAUUGGGUUGAUGACUGAAAAGAACAAAAUUUAGCUUUCUGGUAUAUUCAGUAAGAAUUUAAAAUUUCUCUUAGUUUGAAAUAUAAAGGAUGGAAUCCUGAUGUAAAAUUGAUAUAGGAGGUAGGCAUGGCCUCAGAUUUGAAGAUAUGAAAGUCUUAGGAAGAGAGUUGAAAUCACAGUUUUUCUGUAGCUUCUUGGAUCAGGGCUGAUUAACUUGUGUUGUAUUCUUAAUUAAAGAAAGCAACAGAAAAGGUAAAAGUGAUAGAUGACAUUAAGGUUAAGAUAAUUACAAGAGAGAGAUGUUGGGGUUUGUUGAUGCAGAAGCCAUUGAGAAAGAGAAACAUUUAGAAAAAAACCAUAAUAAAAAUAGAAGAUGAUAUCUUGAUAGCGUUUGUUCUACUAAAUACCUAUCGUAUCUAUGGCUCUUCUAGGCCCUUGUAGCAUCAGGGGUGCACAUUAUAAAAAUGAAUAUCUCCUUUUCUUCUAAGGGGACAUAUAAGGGUUUCAGUUAAGAACCAAAAGAAUGCUAAUAAUACAUUGCCUAAAGAGACUUUAUGAUGCAAGAAAAAACUGAAAUAAGCCACAGCAUGUGGACAUCCAUGGACUCUAUGGAAUUCCAUGUGCAAAGUCACCUAAAACUUUAUUGGUAAAAGUUGAGUUUAAGCCAACAGUAGAGAUGUGUCUACUGCCCUUUCCUUCUCGCUUCCCUCCCUCUUUCAGUUGUUGGUAUCUUUCCCCCUCCUCACUAGUAGACAUUUAAUGCACUUGCCAGAAUGAUGUUUAUGUCAAAGGCAAAACCUUGUGAGGAUUUCGAGUUCCAUCCAUCAAUGUGAUACAUGGAAUAUCUUUGCUUACGGGCUUUGCUAAAAUCAGCUUUCAUUUCACUGUCAUCAAUCCAUUUGUAAGGAGCUUCUGUAGCAGCGGUGGAUAUUCAAAUGCCUUAAGCUGCAUGCCAUGGGCAUAGGGAUGCUUAUGGAUCAGGUUAGGACCAGGCCAACCCUGAGUAACCCAACCCAUUAUUCUGUCUUCUGGACCUGGGUUCGGUCUGACCCAGCUCAGACUUGCUAAAGGCGGACCUAGGCCCAGCCUGAUUGUGAUAGCAUAAGUCAAGGACUGCACUCAGGCUAAGUCAGUCUGAUCUGGUCCAACCCUCAUACCUCAGCUAAACCAUGGCUGGUUUCUGACACAGGGAGGGUCCUUUCCUGGUUUCUUUUUACCACCUUAUACUGUAUCUUAUCAAAUCAAUCUUUCUGCUUUGACAUGUUCAUAGAUGGUACAUACCAUGAUUAAGAGAAAAUUUUAGAAUCUUUAGGAAUCUUAUAAUGAGAAGGAUUAGCUAGAGAACUCCUAAUUUGACUAUUGGCUGGAUUGAGAUAUUGGGUCAUUUUGAAGGGUCUCUGAGUGGAGGUGAGGUCUUUAAAUAGAUAUGACCUUAUGGGGGAAAGGUCUGGAUGGGACUAAGAACAAAUGAGAGAAAGGUUGUGGGAGUUGAAUCUAAAUAUAUUGCAUGUUUGCAUUCUUAGAGGGCAUAAGUGAAAGAGAGAAGUAAUUCUUGUUUAAUAUAGAUGAACCAUUAUUGAUAACUUGAAGAUCAGUAGGUAAAUUUUGUCCAAUCUAACAAAAUGUUUUCUCAUCAUUUUAGUGUUUUAGAAUUUUCUUUUUCUUUGUUGGACUUAUCAGUUUAAUUUCUGAAAGAUAAGCAUAUCUCUGCACAUAAUCCUGCCCCUAAUCAAGGUUUUCUUGUCACAGUAGUUUGAUCAACCUAAUCUGCUUGUGUUCUGGUCGGUCGUUCUGCAUCAUGGAACUUAGCCCUUGGUAUGACAAUACUUCUAGUUCAUUCUUUACACAUCUUAGUCUUGCAUUAUUUUUGAUCAUGCCCCCCUUAUCGAAUGUUUUGCUUGGCAAUUUUUUUUUCUUUUUUUAAAGACUUUUUUUUUCAUGUCAAACAUGAGCUUGGACUUUGGACUGCUAUUGAUUUUAAUGCUAUCAUGGUUUUAGAUCUCAAGUAUGCUAGUUUUCUGGGAUUGUUUUAACUAUUCUAUGAUUUUGAUGGUUUCUUUUUCACUUGUUUGUGUGCUUGAUUCUUUGUCCUAAUAACCUACUCUACUGGUUUUAGGAUAUAAUUCAGUAUCUUGAAAAAUCUUUUGGUGCUGGGCACAUGAUAAACCAAGUUGGUAAUGGAAGCAUUGCUCAACAUCAUUCUAACCAAGGAUUGAAAAUUUCCGUAACAAGUAAUACAACUGCGCCAGAUGCCUCUGGUUCAGAUUCAAGUGGCAGUGCAAAUGUUCCUGAUAAUGCUCUGACAAGAACUUUAUCAGUUGACACACUGGAAUAUGAGACCUUGUAUUCAACACUGGAUACUGGAAGUCAAAACUUUGGUAGGCCUGCCUCAAGUGAUUGUUCAAAUUCAUCAGCUGAUCAAGCUGCGACCGCCAUUGAUCUGAAGCUAAAUUUGCAUCUGUACAAGGUGCGGCUACUGCUUCUUAAUAGGAACCUGAAGGCUGCAAAGCGUGAAGUUAAGCUUGCUAUGAAUGUUGCACGAUGCAGAGAUUCAUCUACAGCACUCCUUUUGAAGGCUCAGUUAGAAUAUGCUCGUGGUAACCAUCGAAAGGCGAUAAAACUCUUGAUGACAUCGAGUAACAGGACAGAAGCAGGAGCUCUUAGUAUGUUCAACAAUCUUGGGUGUAUAUAUCACCAACUUGGAAAACACAACAUUUCAACUAUGUCCUUUUCUAGGGCACUGAAAAGCAGUAUGUUACUUCGUUCUGAGAAGCAUCUGAAGCUUUCUAUCUAUUCACAGGAUAAGUCUCUUGUUAUUAUUUACAACUGUGGGCUGCAGUAUCUUGCUUGUGGAAAACCAUUGGUUGCAGCUUGUUGUUUCAAUAAAGCAAGGUUGAUUUUUUUCAACAGACCCCUUCUGUGGCUCCGGUUUGCUGAAUGUUGCCUUUCGGCUCUAGAGAAGGGGCUUUUGCAACCUAGCAGUGCUUCAUCAUCAGGUGGUGAGGAGGUUAAAGUUCAUGUUGUUGGUACAGGCAGAUGGAGGCAACUAGUCAUUGAUGAUAAAAACCUGAAAUAUAGGUGUUUAGAUGACUCAGGAGAUGGUGUGAUCAGUCCAGAUGGUCUGUACAGGCUGUCACUUCCAUUUGCCCGGCAGUGUCUUCUUAAUGCUCUGCAUUUAUUAAACAAUUCUGAACCGACAAAAUCCAGCACUAACUUAAAAAAGGAAGAUGAUAGCAACCAGAGAAUCUCCUUAGGUGGCAAGAACUUGAGCAACGAGAAUGCAUUGGCUGGAGAUUCAAAGUCAUCUAAUGCAACAUCAGCUUCUACGACAGUCGGUGCAAAUGAUGAUUCUAAGGAAGUUAAAGGAGGCAUGAGCUCGAACUCAACCUUGCAGAAUUCUGUCUCUGCAUAUGGGGACACAUGCAAGAAAGUAAACAACUUGAUAAAGCAGGCUGUUCUUGGAGACUUGGCUUAUGUGGAGUUGAGCCUUGAAAAUCCUUUGAAAGCAUUAGCUGCUGCGAAAGCACUUCAGCAGUUGCCAGACUGCUCUAGAAUUUACAAUUUUCUAAGUCAUGUUUAUGCUGCUGAAGCACUUUGCCACCUGAACCAACCUAAAGAAGCAGCUGAACAUUUAUCGAUCUAUAUUUCAGAUAAGAAUGAAGUUCAGUUGCCAUACAGUGAUGAAGACAGAGACAAAUGGAGGACAGAGAAAGGUGGGGAUGGUGAGGAGGUGAAUGGUCAUUUGAAUGCCAAAACUUCUUUAGAAGAGCCCCAAGGUAUGGUGUUCCCGAAGCCUGAAGAGGCUCGUGGAGCUCUUUAUGUAAAUCUUGCCACCAUGUCUAUAAUUCAGGGGGAUCAUGAGCAGGCUAGCCGGUUUCUGAAGGAAGCUCUGUCUCUACUGCCUAACAAUCCUAGAGCUACACUUGCAGCCAUUUAUGUUGAUAUCCUUCUCGGGAGAAUACAGGAUGCUCUUGUCAAAUUGAAACAGUGUAGAUGUGCUAGAUUCUUCCCUAGUGGGGUAAAAUUGAGCAGUGCGUGUUGAUUGUACCAGUGAUGUUCCAACACUCAGGAAAUUUAUCUAGAGGAGAAUUUUGGAGUUAUUUUGUACCAUACACACAAUUGGUCGUAGAAUAAUUGUUUUUGAUUAUUUUAGGUAUUGGUGGCACUGCACAUUGUCUUAACAUGCAGGCGUCCCCCUUUUUAGUUUGAGAUGUUGUGCAGAUGCAAGCAAAGAGAGAUGAGUUCAUUUGGAAAAGCUUUUGGAAAAUUCCUUGAUUCAGGAAAGAAAAUGCAGAAUAUUUCUUCUUUCUUGCAACACUCCUUGAAUACAUUUUUGUGGUUACAGGAAUGCAAUUAUGGCCACUGACAUCUUGUUCUGAUGCCUUUGUUAAGGUUGUCAUACUUGUAUCGCAGUCAUGGUGGACCUUACUGGGCCUCCAGAUCUGGUAGGUAUGUUUGUGGGAAAUGAAAGAUGAUUCUUCGUCCAGGUAUUUUGGAUAUUGUUAAUUUUGGUAGAAUAUUGUGUGCUGUUCUCAUGUUCCUUUGCUCUUGCCUUAAAGAGAAUAGAUUCAUUGGCUGAAUUCCAUGGUUUAGCAAUGAUCACUGCUCAUCAGCAACAUUUGAAGCUGCAACAUCUUGUUCCUUCAUCUACAUUCUCCUCGAGUGUAUGACAGCUUUACGAGUUGACAUGCUGUAGAGGUAAAAUCUUGCAGACAAUUUAUUCCCUUAGGGUGUAAUAUGAAUAUGGCACAUUAUUAUAACAGUUAAAAAGUCUGAGAGCUCUCUGACCAUGACUGUCAACCUAUUUUCUAGAUUUGUUCCAGAGAUAAAUUAAUGUUACAGGGACAUGCUUAAAGUCAUUGUGGUGGGAAGAAGGUAACCUCAUAUUGUUUUUUUCUUAAAACAUCAUCACUGGGAAUCUAUAUUUCAUGUUGCUUCAACAUUUAUUUUUUAAAUGGAAACGAUAGAAAAAUUAUUGAUAUCAACGUUCUAGGAAAACACCAGCCAAGGUUUGAAGACAACUUUCUGGUGGAAGAUUACUGUGUCCACUGACCUGCAGCUCUGUUUGUCUCAACCUAAAACAGAUUGUCUCACCAGCUGGCUUGGACCUUGCCGUUUACUUUUGUUUGUAUAUUCUAUUGCCAGAUAGAAUAGCAACUUCAAACCUACUUUUAUAACAAAUCAAGAUGAUCUUAGAAUGAUGCUUUGAAGUCAUGUUUCAGAGAUUCUUCAUCAAUUUUAAGAGAACUAAAAGCUUCAACUUGGACCCUUUUCCUUUUCUGAGGUGAUAAUGCAGCAUAAUAUUACAUGAAUCCAAUACCCAGCAUGAGGAAUGCCAUGGGUCGAAAAUAUUUAGAGCAGACGGAGCCAUACACGAGCCGCGCUCUGGUGGUUCUGACCCCUGGGGGAGAAAAAGAAGGGAAUGCAAGCACUCUUUUGUCAAUAGGUUUGGAGCCGUAAAAAUAUGCAACAAAAGAGGUUGAAUUGGUUUGGAGUUUUAUUCCUGGCAAUCUCAGUAAGGAGAAUACUCAAUUAAAGGGACUCUGGUCCUCUUUACAACAGAUCAAAUAUCAUCAGUAUAUGGGCAGAGGAUGGGAACAUUUGCAUCUUACAAAAAGUCCCCACAAAAAGAUUCUACAAAUAAUAGUAAGUGCUAAAAAACAUAUCAAUGUUCUCUCUCUUAGCUGUAGCAAUUCACACAGCUAGUUCCUUGGCAGCACUUCAACCACAUCACGGUUCAUCUUGGAUCAGCUCCCUGGAAGGAUGUAACUAAAUUAUUACUAGUAAGCUAGUUUUUAUUGGUUUUACUUUCUAACACUUUUGUAAGUUUUUCUUUUUCUUGGAGAAAAAUGAUGGCUUUGGCACAUCCUAAAGGAGUUCAAAGGUCAAUUAUGUAACGGUCAGGUGCUGGUACCAGAAGCAGAGCAAUAAUAGAAGAAAGGCCUCACCCAUGGUAAGAGAAAUAGAUCGACACGCCAACAUACAAGGACACUUAAUUGCCUCCUUCCUCCUUUGGUCCGGCUAAGUAUCUUGAUCUCGGUCCUCUUGCAUCAACAAAAAUGAGCAAUAAUAAUACUCUUAUGGAUUAAGAGAAUUCCUGAUAUGUGCUUCCCUACUAUAUUUUUAGGGUAAAUGAAUUCCAUCAAAAUGUCAUACUUGUCAUCAUAAGGGCUAGCAUGUAUCCCAUUUUAAGUAAGACAUAUAGAUGUCAUCUUGCCUAGAGGAAGCCAUCACAAGGGCUUUUUAUUCUUUUUUCCUUUUCUUAUUUUUUAUUUAGAAAACUAAGGACAGAAUAAAGCCUUGGCCGAAAUUGGAUGAAAGCAGGAUUCAGUCCAAGUCACUUGUAUGAAUUCUCAGUCACUUUGAACUCAAGGUAGUUGGUGCUCUCCACGAAAGCAUCUUAUAUACAUAUCUUAUUCUCAUGCUUGGAUAACACAAGAAUCAAAAUGAAAUAAUUGCUAAGGUUAUUUUUCCGAAGCCUGGUUAAAUUAAUUGUUCUUUUAAUGUAUCUGAAAUUGGUCACCAGUAAGGAGAUGACACCACGGUCAGAUCAGGGAUUCACGUGAAUCCAAGUUGAAAGCGUAAAAUGAGAACAAAAGUAGCUCACAUGAAUCCAGGUACGAUUUGGGGCACAGCACAUGGAUUCGCAGCUGGAAUCUUUUAUCGUUAGCGCUCUCUCUCUCUUUCAAACAUGCACACUCGUGAUUACGAGUCUGCUCUCCAUACUGCCAUUGCAUGCAAAAUACACCAGUGAUUCAGAUGAUCGCAGGUUUGGCGUUUGGAAAAAAUCAGCUCAAGAUUUAAAAUUCAGGAAAAAAAAACAUAAAACUUGCCAAAAAUAAAGUAUGCAAUAAAGUACUUAAAGUACCUACUUAAUUAAAAACAAGUUUACAAGAGAUAAGAAUAUUGAAAUUUAACACGCUAUUAUAAGGGAAAAAAAUUGAGUUCAUAAAUAACUGAAUUCAUUUUUGAACAAAUCAGUUAUAAUAAAAAAAGAAUCCAAGAAUAACUAGAGAUUCUUUUUUGCCAGUGUUAUGGUAUUUUGUACUCCUAAAAAGAAUAACUUUUUCUUUGAAUGUGGCAUAUAUUAAUUAUAGCAAUUAGCUAGUUGUUACUUAAGAAAUAAGUAUCACCUUAUGCCCAGAAAACAUGAUACUUGCUGUUCAAAAUUGAAGGUUCUAGCUAGCAAAGUCUUUCGGUGGUAGCCAAUGAACCUAUCUCAGCAGCUGGUUCGCAUCCUUCUCUUGAGGGUUUGCUCUUGCGAGGAAUAUAAUUUUGAACCAUGGUGACGACACAUUACCAUUACAUUGCUUAAGGAAAAGAAAACUUUUGGGUGCCUGCAGAUAAUCAUUGGCAUUGUGUUAGGCUCUCUCAAACAGUGGCAUUGUGUAAUACAUAGACUAUGCUGAUUGAGAUGUGAGAGACUGGACCUCUCUAAUUCAUCUGUGAACUUGACAGGAUCUGGACAUUUUCCUUCCAAGUCAGGAACCUCUCCAGUUCAAACUGAAUUAGAAAGAUCUCUCAAUCAUGGCAGUCAAGUAAUACAUAGAUGAAUGUCAUUGAGGUGCCGGAUGUCUGCAGUUCAAUCUUCUCGGAAAUUUGGCAGACAAUUAGUAUGUGAUCUUAAGAGCUUUUGAUAAUAUUAAUUCAUAAACAUGUUGUGGUUUCCCUAUCUCCCUAUCGCCACGGGGAAAAAAAAUUAUAUAAUUUUCAACCGGCUAUGGAUAGAGUUUAAUAGCAAAUACUUCCAAUGUUAUAGGAAACCUAAUUAUCAGCCUGCAGUAUAAUAUAAAUAAAAGUAUAAGUCCAUCCUCCCAUGAAUUUAAUUAAGUAUAUUUAUACCACAUGGACUUUAUAAAUUUCACAUGGCUGCAGUAUAGUGUAAAUUUCUAUAAAACUAAUCAAGUAGACCUUUACCACAUUGACCUUAAAUUCAUGAAAUUCUUCUUUUGUUUCAAAGGAUUUGGCGUGGCACGUUUGGACUCUUCUCAAUGUCGUUCCAAUAUGUUCUUAACUUUUAGCCUAACGGAUUAGAUGGAUAGGCUACUCUCAUUCCUCUCAAAUCAGCUAAGAAGUAAGACAAGAACAUUAAGAUUGGAAGCUUUGACUUCUAAACAACCAAAAAAAAAAAAAGAGACCUGGGAAAAGUUUCAACCACGUACUUUCAAAUAUUUUCACAAGGUUGUAUCUCCAAGUUUCAUCCAUGGCAUAAAGGGAUAUACUUCUCACACACCUUUGUCUACCGGAUUCAAAGUUGCACCGUUCCCCUUCCAACCACAGGACGUACGUGGUGUUAAGGUCCCCACCAUAACGUUUUGCAUAAAAGAUUCCAUAUACAAUGUGAUGGCAUGUACAGCCUAAUAACCCUGGCGUAGGGUCUCUGUAAAGGCAUCAAACUAAUGCAAAAAGUAAAUUAACAAACUAAUUAAGAGGGUCUUCCAUUAAACAAAAAAAAAAAAAUCUUAGAAGGUCAAGUUGUUGCGAAAAAUGGAAGUAUAUAUCCACCCUUUCAUCAUACAUAUAUUCUUAGUUUUCAUGUAUGGUGGGUCAUUAAAGUUGAAGAUUUACAUAUGCAGACCAAAAGUUCUAAUAGUUUUGUUAACCUUCACCAUAGAUCGAGAACCAAAAAAAAAAAUCUGUUGCUAAGAAAUCACUCUUUUAUUGCUUAUUUGAUGCAUAAGUACUAAAUUUCGGAAGCAUUUUAAAAUAAAUCUAUAGAUGUGUAUACUUAAAACAUCGUAAACCAUCACCAUACGCUUUUAACUCGUACUGUAAGAACAUAUCCAAGCCAUUAUUUACAAACGUAAACCCUUCAUUUUCCUAAUGGACCAUAGUUUUGUGUUCACAUAGCAAGCAAGAUAUAUAGCUAAGGAGUUGGCAGGAAAGCUAUCAUGGAGCCAAAUUAAACCAGCUAGCGUACGUAGUAUGCCUGUAGGACAAAGACAACAGUUAAGAAAGGCGACGAUCGAGCAUAGUUUCACAGGUAGAGAAAGAGCCAACCAGCAAGACUGGCAGGAGCUGCACGUCCACAUGACCUGUCCUAGGGUUCCCUUUCCUCCACUCACACUUCACUCUAUAAAACAUCCCAUACUUUCCACAGCUUAAGCACCCUCAUUUCACAGCCACCAACUAGUUAAACAAUACUAGUGUUGUCAUAGCCAUGGACUCCUCCAAGCUCUCAGCUCUUCUCCUUCUCAUGCUGUUCAUCUCCUCCGCCCCCAUAGCCAUGGCAUGUGAAGCCUGCCGUCAUUUCUCUCCCAAGACUCCCAAGGGACCCAUCAAGUCUUCCUGUCAUCGGCAAACCACCCAUCACCCUUCCUCCCAUCAUCGGCAAACGGCCUAUAACUGUCCCUCCGGUCAUCGGCAAACGGCCUAUAACUAUCCCUCCGGUCAUCCGUAAACGGCCUAUAAUUAUGCCUCCUAUAACUUUCCCUCCUAUCACCGGCAAACCACCCACCACUACCCCUCCGGUCGGCAAACGGCCUAUAAUUACUAUCCCUCCGGUCAUCUCUCCUAUAACUAUGCCUCCAAUCAUCGGGGGACCGCCUAUGACUCUACCUCCAAUCAUCGGAGGACCGCCUAUAAGUCUGCCUCCGAUCAUCGGGGGACCGCCUAUGACUCUACCUCCAAUCAUCGGAGGACCGCCUAUAAGUCUGCCUCCGAUCAUCGGGGGACCGCCUAUGACUCUACCUCCAAUCAUCGGAGGACCGCCUAUGACUCUACCGCCUAUAAGUCUACCACCCAUAAAUCUCCCUCCGAUCACCGGCACGCCACCGGUGACCGGAAACCGAGGCUGCCCGACACCCUGUUCAGCAACGACCUGCCCGAUCGACGCGUUGAAGCUCGGUGCCUGUGUAGACCUCCUUGGCUCAACAGUGCACAUUGGUGACCCUGAAGUGGAGUGCUGCCCAGACAUUUUGGGCCUCGCCGGAGUUCAGGCCGCAGCAUGUCUGUGCACCACAAUAAAAGCUAAGCUGCUCGACAUCAACGUCGUCCUUCCUAUCGCACUCAAACUCCUCGUCACCUGCGGAAACGCCGCCCCUCCUGGUUACACGUGCCCUGCAUAAACGUAGUUAAGUACCUAGACCACUGCAGCUUUUAAGAUCUAAAUCUAAUCUUUUUCCUUGCCUGAAUACUUUAACAAGAAGAACAGCUAACUUUGGAGCUUAAACAGAUUUCACAUCAAGGAGAGGCAAGGAAAAAAAAUGCCUCACGUCUUCCAUUUCUGGAUUAGCUUCGGAACAUAACUCUCUUUGAGCUAGAUAUGCCUCUUCCAAUGAUUUUUUGAGAUAGAGAAGGGACAUGCACCUUGUUACAUUCUGAAAAUUAAGUCUCAUACUUUUUUCAUAACAGCGAAGUUUUUGAGGUCUAAAUCUAAGAAUUUUUCUAACCUACAGCAAGUAGCUUUCAGUCUUAGUGCUUUGGUAAAUGCAUAAUGGUAUCUUCCCCCCUCGAAUUUUGGUAUAAUGCUUAACUUUAGCAUUAAGACUGAAACUCACUGUAUAUUUUUUGUAUUUGCAGCCGCCUGGAGUCAUCUUAAUGAGAACCAAAAGGGGUUCAAACUGGUAGAUUUGAGGAGACAUGAGAGGAUGCCUGAGUAGAUCUCUUCUUUUGUUUUUCUUUCGUUGUACAUUUGUAUUGUUUUGGUGCAAUUGUUCAUGGUGGUGUCUUUAAUUAUUGGAAUGGACUUUUUGCCUUCUCUUAUUUUCUUUUCUGGUGUAUUUCUGUGUCCCAACAAAUAAACAGCUCCCGUAGCUUUCUUUUAUUUUCUUAGAGGUUUAUCUUAAAACCAACCACAGCUGAAUGAUUCGAAAGAAAAGCCAAUAAUUGGUGUACUCUUUCUUGCAUGCGUUCUUGUCACCUUGGUACGUUUAUUAUACUGGAUAAAUGAAGUCAUAUUGUAGAUAAUCUCUUGAUACUCACCUUGUGAGGAUGAGGAAAAAAUGUAACAACAUAACGGCCAUGAAGAUACUACCAUGCAAGUGCUGACUAUAAAGAAGUCGGAGGGAAUUUAAGCUGCGAUAAGGCCAUCGUUCUUUUAAUCAGAUGUCUUCCAUGGAAUGGUUCAUUUAAACUGUGAUAUCAUAUGAUCCAGAAAAGGGUUAUAGUAUCAUAGGAUGUUUACAAUUGUAAACUUUAUGACUGAUCAUUAUGACUAUUUUUAAGUGAACUUAAUCAACGCCCUCCUACGUACCUGGCUUGAGAGUAAAGCAGAAACAUGCAUCUUAUUUGGCAAAAAAAAAAAAAGGUUUGAAAUAAAAUUUCAAUAUGAAUGCUAAAACAACAGGAGAUGGAAGUCUUCCAUAGGAGACUGAAACUGGAUGUUGGAAAUAUGGACAGCAAGGUAGAUAAGGAGCGGCUAGCUUCUGUGUUCUUGUUCUCUAAGCUUGAUUGGUGGGUGUUUAUAAUUGCAUCCUCCUCUUUUUUAUUGCCUCAAACAAUUCCCUUAGGCACUUGGGCGGCUGCUUUUUCCUAAAAAUAAGAGAAUAUUUUUUGGAUGAUAACCAUGAGCAGUUAAUGCACCGGCACUAUAUAUAUAUAUAUAUAUAUAUAANNNNNNNNNNNNNNNNNNNNNNNNNNNNNNNNNNNNNNNNNNNNNNNNNNNNNNNNNNNNNNNNNNNNNNNNNNNNNNNNNNNNNNNNNNNNNNNNNNNNNNNNNNNNNNNNNNNNNNNNNNNNNNNNNNNNNNNNNNNNNNNNNNNNNNNNNNNNNNNNNNNNNNNNNNNNNNNNNNNNNNNNNNNNNNNNNNNNNNNNNNNNNNNNNNNNNNNNNNNNNNNNNNNNNNNNNNNNNNNNNNNNNNNNNNNNNNNNNNNNNNNNNNNNNNNNNNNNNNNNNNNNNNNNNNNNNNNNNNNNNNNNNNNNNNNNNNNNNNNNNNNNNNNNNNNNNNNNNNNNNNNNNNNNNNNNNNNNNNNNNNNNNNNNNNNNNNNNNNNNNNNNNNNNNNNNNNNNNNNNNNNNNNNNNNNNNNNNNNNNNNNNNNNNNNNNNNNNNNNNNNNNNNNNNNNNNNNNNNNNNNNNNNNNNNNNNNNNNNNNNNNNNNNNNNNNNNNNNNNNNNNNNNNNNNNNNNNNNNNNNNNNNNNNNNNNNNNNNNNNNNNNNNNNNNNNNNNNNNNNNNNNNNNNNNNNNNNNNNNNNNNNNNNNNNNNNNNNNNNNNNNNNNNNNNNNNNNNNNNNNNNNNNNNNNNNNNNNNNNNNNNNNNNNNNNNNNNNNNNNNNNNNNNNNNNNNNNNNNNNNNNNNNNNNNNNNNNNNNNNNNNNNNNNNNNNNNNNNNNNNNNNNNNNNNNNNNNNNNNNNNNNNNNNNNNNNNNNNNNNNNNNNNNNNNNNNNNNNNNNNNNNNNNNNNNNNNNNNNNNNNNNNNNNNNNNNNNNNNNNNNNNNNNNNNNNNNNNNNNNNNNNNNNNNNNNNNNNNNNNNNNNNNNNNNNNNNNNNNNNNNNNNNNNNNNNNNNNNNNNNNNNNNNNNNNNNNNNNNNNNNNNNNNNNNNNNNNNNNNNNNNNNNNNNNNNNNNNNNNNNNNNNNNNNNNNNNNNNNNNNNNNNNNNNNNNNNNNNNNNNNNNNNNNNNNNNNNNNNNNNNNNNNNNNNNNNNNNNNNNNNNNNNNNNNNNNNNNNNNNNNNNNNNNNNNNNNNNNNNNNNNNNNNNNNNNNNNNNNNNNNNNNNNNNNNNNNNNNNNNNNNNNNNNNNNNNNNNNNNNNNNNNNNNNNNNNNNNNUCUCUCUCUCUCUCUCUCUCUCUCUCUCUCUCUGUGCAGCUGCAUGAGGAGGCAAUGCAUGCAACGACAGUGACCAUCUAGACGCAGAUAACAAUACCUGAGUUGUCUGAAACAUAAAAUAACAUUGAAACAAGCGGAUUUUCUUGAACUUAAAUUCUUAGGCUGGCAAAACCAGUGAUGACAACUAUUACAGGGACAACAUUGAGCUUAGCAUAUGAAAAACAAUCUAGUCACAGUCGAGACAAGAAAAAACAGAGGCAAUGCAAGUAACGAGAGAUUGGUAGUCCAAAUCAUCAGUCCCUAAACACACUUGAAGCCAUCUGGGAUCUCCUUCUUGCAGGGGCUAACUAACAAGCUGAGAGCCACAGACCACUUGAUAUUGACACCUAACAGAUUCUCCUUAAUUGUAGUGCAAAGGCAAGCAGCAGCUUCAACAUCAGUUAGGCCUUCAAUAAGAGCACAACACUUGCUCCCAAGUGGCUGACCUAUGAGCAACCUUUCCGUAUUUCCGAGCAAGUCCCAGCAGACACCAAGCUUGACCGUGUCGCGUGGGCAAAACGGGUUUGCCGGAGGCGUCUUCCGGGGGAAUUUGUGGUAGAUUCUGGGCUUUGGUUCCUCAGGCCAUGGGAUGGAAGCACAGCACAGGUUGGAGAAGAGGAGGAGGCAGAGGGCUGCAAUUGUCUUGCUAUCCAUGGUUUUCCCUCAGCAGCUGCAUGAGGGGCCUGGUUGUAUGCCCUUUGAUAAAGUGUGGUCACAGGUGAAUACCAUCUUCCUUCGUUUGGUAAAAAGGUAACUCGGUUGCAGAAAAUAGCAGGGAAGUGAAGUGUCCUGGAUUUGUGCUUUUCUGAUGAUGGAAUGCCCUUGAAAGGCACUGAUGAGAGGAUGAUUGGGUUAUGUAGGGUCAGGGUGGCUAAAUGCCAGCUCUCUUACCUGUAGUUGUUUCAUCUUUAGCCUGUUGUCCUGUUCCAUUUGCUGCAGUCAUGCACAUGCACUGUUUCUUAACAUUGUUGUGGCCACAGUAGAUAUCUUUUUUCUUGGGAUCUAGAAUUUACAUGAUGCAGGAAUUACUAGUUCUUUUCCAUCUAUAUGAAUGUAUCAUGUUUGGGAUCUAUGCUAUUUCAUGUCUCUCAGUUGACAAGCAGGAAACCUGGCCUCAAGAUGCAAUGGUUCCCAUCUGAUGUAAGGAUGAUUUAAUUGACUGAAUGCUAGCUAUAGGUGAGGAGAAUACACUAGUCUUGGCUGGCAAGUGUAGUUUUGCCAUGUUUCCUCCUUGUGGCAUAUGAUAACUUUUGACAUGGACCUGCCAACAGCUUUACUUCUCAAAAUCUAUCAAACAUUGUGUCACACUGACAGUGGAAAUUCUUGUUUCCACUCUAUGCUGAGCUAAACCAAGCCAAUUCCUGAUCUGGCUAGAAUACCAGCAAGUACUGGAAAUUUAAUAGAACUUCUCUGAUUAUUUCUCCUGCAGUUAAUCAUCAGAGUUGCCUUCGCAUUUCAGCAUCUGAAUUCUCAUAUUCUUGCACUUUGAUGAUUUUGUGCAUGCAAGAAAUGCUUCAACAAGAGUUCCUUUUAUUCAACAAUGCUAUAAAAUUAGAUAUGAGAUUUUAUAGAAACAAGAUUACACCUUGAUCACAAGUCUCCACAUUAGAGGCACAACAAACAUGUAACUGACACUCCUAACACAGCCAAAGAGCCCAGACCAAUAAAGUGCAAGUUCAUUCACAUUAGGAAAUAAAUGGCCGCCAACCACAGAAGAAACAUAAUAACUACCAGGAUCAAUCAUGACUGGAUACAAGACGGCAGAGUGAUACCAUGGCACACAAAUGCAAGUACAACAUAAAUUAUGACUAAGAGGAGGAGAAUCAAUGCAACCCUGCAAGAUAGAUAUUAUCCAAAUUAGUAUGUGCUCUUACUCCAAGCCCAAAACUAAAAUUUCAGUAAAACCAUAAAAAAGAACCAAUAAAUGCUUAGAAAAGGCACAAACAAGCUUGAUGAAAAAUGUAAAUGAUUAGAGAAGUAAGAUUUUGUUGAUAACAAAACUACAAAUAUAAUUAAAGCAAGGAAGCAAAACUACCAAUUGCUGUUGGUAACGAAAUUAAUAGAUGUAACAGGACUGAAACAAAGAAGACAGGAACAAAGGAGUAAAAGAUAAAAUUUGUCGUUCAUGAGACUCUGCAUCAACAUUCUAUAUCAGCAAUCUAACUGGGGUCUUUCAAAAUUAUUACAGCAGACUAUUAUAAGAUAUUUUAUUUGUCCAUAGAAAUGUAUUUGCCCAAGCAAGGCUACAAAAGAUGUCAAUUGUAAGUAAGAAAAAUUGUUUACAUCAAUCUAAUGUGACAUUAGAUUCAUUUUAAUUUGUAUUGAUAAAUUGGUAGAAGAGUAGGCAGAUUUGAUUUUUAGUAUGGUUAUGGAUUUUUUUGGUUCCCGAUCAUAUGAUUGCUCAAAAAAUUGGCUUCCUACCAGCCGCCAACAACCCCCCCCCCACCCCCCCCCCCCCCCGCCCGCGAAAAAAAAGAGAAGAAAAAUUUGAAUUCUUGUGGUUUUCUGUAUCUUAUAUUGUCAAUCAGCGCCGACUGUCCUUGCAGUAUAAUAUGGUACAUGUAUCAUGCUGGUCCAAGUGGUAUGUACGCAAUAGUACUGUGGCCCUCAAAUUCACAUGUCCAUGCUUCUAGUUUCCUUCGUCACUAGUUAGGAAAAGUAUCAUGAGCAAGCCCCCUUUUUCUGUCAAGAUGCUGACUCUCUUAUGUACAUGAGAUCUCUAAAUUUGCUAGUCAUAACUAUCAUGUCUCAUCCAACGUAAAGAAAAAGAAAAGAAAAAAACUUAUAGUUAAUUAAGUGCAUCAAAACUAUAGAGGUCUGAAAUCUGAAUUAAUAAUUUAGGUUGAGUAACUGCAUACGUGAGCUUAACAUUCCGCCACCAUACAGUGUUCCUGAAACGGCGAGAUUGUUUUCGGAAGCGAAUUGUGUUUCCUUGCAUAUUCGUAGUUUUAUCAACCAGCAAUUCCAACCGAUCCCCUCUUUCAAGUACUUUAUCGAUAUUCUCUAUCAUGACAUUGCGCACCUGGGACGGUCAUCAAAAAUGAAAUUUAUCAACAAAGACCAUCCAAGUUGUCAAAAGCUUAUAAUAUCCAAAGUAUUGAGAUAUGAUGCCCCAAUUUUACAUCAGAAAAAAAGAUGAAUGAUAGAAUAUGGGUUAAAAAAUAAACAGGUGCAAGAAAUGCUCCAUGCAAAAUGCUUGUGAAACAGAAUAUCGGUCUAAGCAUAGAGUUCCAAAUUGAUAUAAACCCCUUGGUUUUCAUGAGGAACUAACAAAACAGGGAGAUGAAGGCUCUGAGUUUUUGGAUGUGGAUAAGCCAAUUCAGCAACUUUCUUCUGAUGAUACUGUUCACAUUUGCUUUUCUUAAUUCUUUGUUUCUGUGCACAGAUUACAUCUAACAGGUAAAGCUUGUUCAAAAGGCACCCAAAUUGUAAAACUUAUUUGAAAGGGUAGAACACUUCAUUGGUGGGUUCCGAUCAUUUGAGCAGUAUUCUUUUAUUAUCCUAUGGAAAGACUCAAAUACGCCAACUCAUUUAGUAUAGUCAAACUCAAGAUACGACGAGGCUCCUCAAGAAAAGGGAAGGUGACGUGUAUUCAUGGUAGAAAGACUGGUAUAGGGACUAAACGUGAAAUGCUAACGAUGUACAGGACUAAAUGCGACAUGGUAGUCGAACGAAUGACUAGGUGUUAAGUUCCCCUACAGAACUUGCAGACACUUGGUAAAACUUCAGAAAACUUCUAAAAUUCCUGAUUGGUCAGACACCAAAAAAUAGGACCUUAACAACGAGAUAUCAUCAUGUCCAUGAUAAAAAACAUGACACUAGAUUCCUUUGAAUAGAAAAGCUGCCGCUACUACUCCUAUACUUAUCUUUUGUUUAUCAUCUUCCUUUUUUUCCAUUCCUGUGCAAAAUAAUAGAAAAAUAGUUGCUAAAAAUCAGUUUUUUUGGGCUUGCAAAGAAAUUUGGAAAAAAAGAAACCCAACUUGGAGUAGAUAUUUAGCUAUCUGGCACAACUGAAGUCCCUAUUUAUAUAAAUUUGAGUGAAUCGGCACCACAGAAAAUUUUUGUGUCAAUAGCCAUUAACACUUGGCAUAGUUGGUUGGGUCAACAUGCAAAAAACAUAGACUAUAGAGUAGUACUGACAUCUAGGAUUGUAGUGCAUAACAAUACUAUGCUAACAGACAGCUAUCAAAGAGAAUCGAGCCAGUGGGGCAUAGUCCCUUACAAUAAAGCGUAAUAGUUUUUCAGAUGAAAAUAUUGCAACAUAUGUAUGGGUAGUAUUAUUGCAAAAUAUUCAUUAAAUAUUGCAACACUUUAUUCAGAAAAAAAGGAAAUAUUGCAACAUUUCUAUUCUUUACCAAUAUGUACCUUAUGAUGUCAAGUGAUGUCCUACCAUCAUGCAAAGGCUACAAAUUGAUAUCAACUACCCAAUCUGAUCUUUCUUUCAAUUCACAGUUGCAUGCAAAGAUAUUACCUGAUCUAUUGUAGAAUGCUAAAAUCCUAAACAUCUUUACAACUGAAGCUUCAAACAACCAAAAAGAGAAGAAAAAAAAAUACAGACAGGUUUUUGACUAAGCAACACCAUGAAUCAACUUUUUUGGCCACUGAUUCCACACCAUUAAUCUUGCUGGACAUCUCUCUCUCUCUCUCUCUCUCUCUGUGUGUAUGCGUGUCUGUCUAUGUGUAUGCACAUGCAUGAUUGUAUGCGUACAUAUGUACUUGCAGGUUUGUGCACUCUUAGUGCAUUAAAUUAAUGUUUCUGACAAAUAUAAUGAUUUUUUAAGCAAUGAUCGAGCUUUUAGCAAACAAAAAAAAAGAAGCAAUGAUCAAGCAAAGACAUCUAUUAGCUUAGACAACAUAUUUUAGCUCAUACAUAUCUCUUGUCUAAGUUGCAUAGACAUGACAUACAUAAAAAGAAAAAUUAUACUAAAAUAAGGAAGAGUGAGAGGGGUCCUUAGGUCUAUAGAAUUUACCCUUAGAUUGAAUUGAUAACAAGAUAUUUAAACCUAUAUUAUAUGACAAUGAUAUGGAUAGUUUUGGAAAUAAAAUCUUAUGACUAGAAUUCAUAAGUAACAGGAUUUGGGAUAUCAAAUUUCUUUGCCUCCUCGUAUUUUCUAUUCGCAACUUUCCCAAUCUCCCCUUCUCUAUGUCUGCCAGUUGCCUCCUUAUUUUCUCUUAAAACCCAACCACCCAUGUACUAAUCUUAUAUGGCCUCUCUCUGUCUCUACGACUAAUCUCCUACGCCACCCCCCCCCUCCUCUCUCUCUAACAAAGGUUUCCCUUUCUUUCAACCCGUCUCCACUCUAGUCUUCAUACAUCCUCUCUUCAGACAAUUUGUUAUUUAUUUUUUCUUACCCUGCUAAUUUACGUAUUAUCUUGGUUUUGCUUAAUUUAUUAUUUAUUUUUUCGUAUGCUGCUAACAGAAACAAUAGAUCGAGCAACACUACCAAACCUAUUAAUUAUCUUUUCUUUGACUUUAAACAUUUCAUAUUUAGAUAUUUUUAUUUUAUUUUUUACAUUUCUUUGAAGGAUGAAAAUCCUUUUGCAGAGACCUACAAGAAGUAGCAAAUUCUAAAGAAACAUUGUCCUAGGCACAAACAGGUUUGUACAAUUUCUUUUCUUUCCUUUUCCCUAUUCUAUAUACAAUUUAAUGUAUAUUUAUUUAUUUAUUUCUUUUUGUUUUGUUUUGCUUUAAAAAAUUAUAUAAAGUUAUAUAAGAUGGAGUGGCGGCAAUGUAACCCAGUUCUUUCUCAUAUUGAUUCCAUAAUUUUGAUAUUCAAACACUUCCUUAUUUUGUAAAGUUAUUUAAAAGAUCAUGCAAAUCAUUUGGUUAUGGUAUUAGUUCAUUGGUUCCAAGUCAGGAUAUAUCAUUGAUCUGAUUUUUUGCUUCAAUGUUGUUAAGUUUAAAUAUGAGCUAUUUUUAUAUCUUCCUAAUAAAAUAACGAGAUAUUUAACAUAUAUCUCCCUUAAAAAAAGAAAUAUUUAAGCAAAUUAAUUUUUACUUCCACAUGCAAUGCGCAUGCCCAUUUAUUAGUAAUAAUAAUUAUUAAAAUGUCGAAGCAUUUGAAUUCUACCUGACUCAUUUCACCUCUGAUGCGGUUUAUCCUAUCUGCAUUAGGGUCAUUGGAAUAAUACUCCAUCUGUUGGCUCAAGACCCUUGAAAAUUCAUCAUUCAUUGCAUAAGCAAGAGCUGUGUGACAAGCACGACCAUAUGUCUUCACAAAUCUUCCAUGAAUAUCCUCAAGAAAUGAAAAAGGAAUUNNNNNNNNNNNNNNNNNNNNUAAUUAUUAAAAUGUCGAAGCAUUUGAAUUCUACCUGACUCAUUUCACCUCUGAUGCGGUUUAUCCUAUCUGCAUUAGGGUCAUUGGAAUAAUACUCCAUCUGUUGGCUCAAGACCCUUGAAAAUUCAUCAUUCAUUGCAUAAGCAAGAGCUGUGUGACAAGCACGACCAUAUGUCUUCACAAAUCUUCCAUGAAUAUCCUCAAGAAAUGAAAAAGGAAUUCUUCCUGCACAAGUAAUUCAAUGAAUUUAAAAUGUCAUCUGUCUUGACAGAAAAGGACUAGAACAUAAAAGGUCUGUGAACAGGAAUCUAAGAUAUGAGAUGCUAUUGCAGAACGCUAACUUUUUUCUUCUCCAAAUCCAUAUGUAAAUGAUGAGUAUAUUGAAAGCGUAAAGAGCAUAUAUAUUAUCACCUUAGCAUUAUUGAUACAAGUGAGAUACAGAACUUUACAAUAUCAAUGCCAUCGAAUCCUCAAGAGAAAAACUCAUUGUUUCCAUGAUAAACUUAAAAUACGGCACUUAUUAUUUGUCAUCCUAGAGAAGUAGCAACUUUGAAAGAUGAUGACAUAAAGGAAUCUUCUAAACUCUAAUGUACCCGGUAUACUGCAUACACAUUCUAUUAAGGCUAAUCAUAGUGGUCUCAAGAAUAUUAUUAAAAGUAAUUUAUGGAAGUAAUUGGAAGAAUAAAAAGCAGAAUUACCUGAACGAAGUUCACCAAAGUUCUCAAAUUUAAAAUGUCUAAAAAAGAACAAAAUAAGGAGUAUGUGUGUGUAAUCUCACAAUAUAUAUUAAAUUUCAAAAAAGAGUACAUAGAAGCACAAAUAAAUGAAUGCAAAAGAAUUUGCUAGGAGUCUCCAAUCAGCAACAUUCCAAAUGAAAACUAAAUGAAAGAAUUAAAUACUAGAUACCAUAUUCUGAGUCUGCAUGGUCCCUGUGACACUGUAAAACUAUGCCAUCGCCCUACUAGCACUCAGCAUUGGCAUGGUACAGCUGCACCCCAGUGCUAGGCAAGCAGCAGUGCCAGUGCCAGUGCCUGCUCUCAGCAGGCACUGGCACAGUACAAUUGCUUAACAUGCCAGUGCUAGGGUGGCAUCACCUUGACAUGUGAUACACAAUCCUUUGAGGUCACAGUACAAUUGCUUAACAUGCCGGUGCUAGGGUGGCAUCAGCUUGACCUGUGAUACACAAUCCUUUCAUGACCUCUAUGAGCAAAGAGCAACUCAAACCCCCAAAGUUCAUGACAUUUCUUCAACUCAUACUAGACAAUUUUUGAGACAGAGUGACAUUAAUAAUCUACAUUGCAAUUUUUUCAUUAAAAAGAAAACUUGGCUAUAUAUGGUUGCAUUUCUCAUUGCAGUGUAUGGGCAAAAACUCCACCACUAUACUCUUUCAUUUCCUUGAAUCGAGUUUGAACUUACAUAACUUGUUAAAGAUAGCUCAAUGCACUAUCUACACUAGAGACAAGAUUUCAUACGUUAGCUAAAAAGUGCCUCAUGUUUGUUUCAUAUUACUUUGCUUGGACAGUCUAAAAGGUAUCUUUCUGAACCAAAGGGAUACUUUACUUGACUGGAAGGACAUCAGUAGGUGGCUGUUUUAAGUAUUGCACAGGUAUGCCUCUCUUCAUAAAGAAAACUAAUAUACUACGUAAAAUUAAGACUCAGUUAACUCUCUCUCUCUCUCACUAUCUCUACACACACAAAUAUAGCAUAAAGUUGACAUUUAUUAGUUUCAUGUCAUUCCUGCACAAAUCAAUGAACAGAAUACAUUUAAACCACAUCUGCGGCCAUGAUAAUUAAGAUCAAAAUUCGCCGCCUCGGUAUCGGAUCCCGAACCGGUACCAUGUUAGCAUAAUAUCGAUACUCCGGCACUUAUUUCAGGUGUACUAAGACUUGGAAUGCCCCCGUAUCGAGUCAAGGUUCAGUUCCAGUACAGUAUGGUCCACCAAUUGCAGGUCAGCAUGCACUGGUAUGGCAAACCAUGAUUAGGAUAGGCAUUUCAAACUACCAUCAUAAAAGAAGUCUAAGAACCACUAAAUGCAGGCACUAGAGUCUAAUACCAAUAUGCAAAUCUUUCUACAUGCAAAGAAAUUUUGCUGCACAAUUUUUUUUGAAGUGUAAGUUGCGUUAUAUUGAGUUACAAUAUCAUCAAUCAACUCAAAAUAAUGCAGAUGAACAGAAAAAUUUAGCAACUAUUAAUUAUUCAACUAUCAAUUGGCAGAAAGAAUAAGACAAGUAGCUAGAACAUUGCAGGAUGGAAGAAGACAACUAUUUUUGAAGGACGUGGCAAAGCAUAAUACACAAAUUGAUGACAGCAGGCAAAGUAGAAUCUGUAAAGCAGGUCUUCGUUGUUGGGAAGAAGCAAAGCUUGCUCCAAUAAUUUCCUAGGCAGCAGCAGGCUCUAAACAAUCUUUAAUAAUUAGAAUAACAGAAACAACUUAUAACAGAUUUUUUAGGUACCUUGGCAUCAUUUAUACCUAAAUUACGAAGAACUUUCUAUUAACAAAAAAAGUUCAAUGGAACUCAAUCUCAUACUUUAUCAAUUCCAGAUCAUGUACGCUAGGCAGCCCAAAAUUGGAAUAGGAACCAAGACUCAGAAGACAACAUCAAUAAUCUUGAUUAGAAUAAUCAAUAGAUCAUAGCAACUACACAUGUUUCUCUAGGUUUUCAAGAAAUCUUCUUCAUCAACUGAGAUAUCCCUAAGAGUCAUAAAAGCCUGCCCCAAGUUAUCGACUUUCUCGCAACUAUAGCCAAAUCCAAGCAAUGGAAGCACCAAAUCCUCAAAUUUCGACUCAAAGGGGACAUAAACGAUGCGAUCCCAUCACAUAAACUUGACCGCCCACCAGAAAGGGGCCGACUUCCAAUCCAAUGCACGUCAAGAAUCAAAUAGUUAAACGAAUCGAAGAGGCAGGAGAGGGAGAGAGAAGGAAUACUCACUUCCGGCGGUGUCGUCGGCCAUGCAGAGGGUGGUGAUCCCAUCGGUGCACUUGACAUGAAAGACGUACCGGUCCUGGGAGUAGGAGACGUGGCUGUCAUUGGUGCCGGGAAUCUUCUCGAGGAUCUGGCGGGCGAUCGCGCUGGCGUUCGUCGGCGUCGCGCUAAACUCCGCCAGCACCACGGAGCCCCGGGCCACCAAAGCGUACAGGAUCGCCAUCGCUCUUUCUCUCUCGCCUUCCGCGCCUUGGUCUUCGCCCUAUUCGCUUCUUAUAUUUCUCUGAAGUCUCAACGGAAGAAGAAAAAGGGAAAGGAGAGAAGGAGAUGAGAGCGGCAAAAGGGGAGAGGAAACGGAAGGGGGCGUCGCCAUGGCUGGGCGAGAGGCCGACAGGAAACGGAGAAGCAGGGACAGCCGGAUAUGGCACAUUAAUUAACACAUGGCAACAUUUUAUUGGUUAGAAAGAUGGGGCCAACAAACUGCCAGCGUGGAAGGCCUCAAGGUACCAGCUUCGAGAAGAAUCCAUCCAUGUUGGGAGCUUAAGGGCUGAAAACAGAAUGGACUAGGCUUACCGCUUCUUUACCUAAGUCUGGCCUAUUUUUUUUCUUUAUUUUCCAGACUUAAUGCUGAGCUUAGACCUAAAAAUUUUUAAAAAAUUCUGACUCAGAGCCUCAUCCGAACCUGAUUGAGAUAGCUCAAAUUAUCCAUUUAGGUUAAAAAUUAGCCUGGCUCGAAUCUGCUUGAAGCUUAAUCUUUUAAUCUUCAUGCUGUAGCUUUACUUUUUUUCUUGAUGAAAUAUUAUAGCUUUAUAUUAGCAAUCAUUUGAUGAUCAUAAAUAUAUUUACCAGGAAAGCAAAUUUAUAGCAUAAUUAGAAAUAGCAUUUUUAUUUUUUAGGCAGCUCGUAAAUAAGUAUCUAAAUUCAGAAUCUAUUUUAGGGCCUGAGUUUGAGCUCCGUUUGGGACCUUGUCCGGGCUCGAGCUCAUGCUGGGCUUGGGUCAAGCCAAUGAUAUAUCCAAGUCGGCCCGAAAAAUAUCUGAGCUCUAUAUUUAAGCCUAAAUUCGAUCUAAAAUUUUUUAGACUUAGCUCGUAGCCCAACUUGAAAUCAGCUUAGCUCGAUGGGCCUCAGGCCGAUCCGAGUCCAAUUCCGACCCUAGCUCUGGAGAUGAAUUACAACGUUUAUAUGGAAGAUAUCUCUCUACGCAAGGGAGGAUCUAAUAACUAUAUCAUACAAUGGCCCAUUCUACAAUGUAGGAGUACAUUAUAGAACCUAACUCAAAAGUGAGAUUGGAUCGCAAAUCAAUGUAUUGGCGAAAGAUUUUUGUAGCUUGGAUUGUUCCCACAAGGUGACACAUGGAUUUGAACGGGAGAUAAAGGAUUUGUAGUCCACGCCUUACCACUUGACCAUGCCACCAAAUAUGAUCUAAAAUGGGUAACAUUUUUAUCCAAUCAUAUUCUAUUACUAUUUUUAUUUUGAUAUUGAAUUCCAUUUUACUUAUCCUCUUUCAAAAAUUAGUUCCGAUAUUUUAUUGGAUCUAAUUUAGAUUAUUCCCUUCAAUUGAUUGCAACUCAAAGACACACUAUUUAAACCUCCUAUUGGCAAGAGAAAAAAUAGAUGGCUAGCGGUGACCAUAAAAUUCAAGACAAACUAGAACCAUUGACUUGUUCUUAAAUUUGCAUCUCAAAGUGUUGCCUUGGUGGUAUAACAAAAUUAAAUUGAUUUACUACUAAUUUGCAUCAAUUAUUUUCGAUAACCAAUCCUUUUCAAUUUUAGUUAUAACAAUAAUAUAUGAUAUAGGAUCUAUGGGAUAAUUUUUAGAAGUAUAUUUUGCACAACAUCCCCGUAAACAUAAGCCCCAAAAUAGAAAUUGUUACAUAGAUACCGAAUUGAGUCUUUCUCUUAUAUAUAUAUAUAUAUAUAUAUAUAUCCUUAUUGAGAAUUAUUGUGCUUAAACUUUUCAUCAAUUUUUUUGAAUAAAAAAAGGAAUAUGAUAGUGCGACUUGACUUCUAUUGUCACAAGUAAAAUUACGAUAGAACAUGUAAUACGCGGACAAAUAUAUUGGCAUUUCUUAAUAAAUAUUACUUGAAUUACUAUUAUAUAAUUCAAUGUAUUCUAUCUAUAAAUUCUACUAUCAAAAAAAUCUACGAAUUCUUUUUUGAACAUUAAAAGUGUGCUUAAAAAAAAUCGAUAUAGCUCUUGAUUAUUCUAUCUUUAUUUUAUUCCUAAAGAGCAUAUUUCAUUCUAUAUCUAUUUAUUUGUUGGUACUUAAUAUGAUUAUAAUAUCAUAAUAAUAAGUAGAAAUUGGAUCAAUUUUUACAUUAUAUACAAGACUCCAAAAGUGAAAGUGAUAAAUUUUUUUUUUAAGAAAUGUUUUAUCAAUGCAUAGUCAUUUUUACGUAUCUCAAAUUCAAAAAUGCUAUUCGUUCCUCCGUCUCAUUUCCAUCCAUAUGUAUGAAAUACAUUAUAUAUAUGAAGUUGACUGAAUUUUCAUAUGAUCAGUAAAUAGAAUAUGCAUUCCAUCACAACCAAAACGAUUCAUAUAUGUUGAUAAAAAGUGAGUCAAAAAUGAUUUUUUUUUUGAUAAAUAGGAAACUUAAGAAUAAAAUGAAAAUGAGGAAAUGUCCACAAUGCCUGAAUUAGUCGGAUUCCGUUUGAGAUAUUUUUGUACUAUUCGUGCAAUUUGGGAUCUUUAUUUUGAGCAACCAGUUGUCCAAGUCUUUACAAUGCUUUCAAUUGUGAGGGAUAAACUGAUGAAAAGAAAGGUAAAGAGUGUCUUAGUUCUCUAUCCACCAGGAGAAAAGCUUAUUGAAAUCAAUACAUCGAUCAUGCAAUAUAUAAAAGUUUUUACUUUGUUGCAAAUGUGAAAUUUCCUAGUGUUGAUAUGAUGUUUGUAAGUUCGCAUAUGCAUCCUAUUUGCUUCUCAUAUAGUUUGUGGCUCCAAUAAAUAAUCCAAAGUUAGAAUCUUUAAAGAUUGGUUACAACUACGUGCUUGUUCUAUCCUUCAUUUGGACAGUUACGCAGAUGGCUGUGGAAAUAAUUUAUCAUAUGAAUUUCUAUGUUACAGCGCACGCCAGGUCUCACAGUGGUCAGGGCAGAGUUGCAGGCAGCGUGGGAGGGUAUAUCCUAUGCAUGACACAUACUUGGUGUGGAGCAGGUAUGCUUCGAGGGAGAUUAUUCUAUGGUUAUCGACUGGCUCCAAGGGGCGGACCGGUUUGGAGAUGGUCAUCCCCUUAUUCGGGAGACCCGUAUGAUGGCGCGGUUGAUGGGUGAGAUUCAGAUUGGACAUGUGUUUUGGGAGGCGAACAGGGCUGCAGGCUGGGUCGCCUUCUUUGUUGCUCGGCAUUCCGAGGAUUUUUUUUGGACAUCUAUCUCAGACAUUCACUCCUCUUUAUGUCUUUUACUUUUCCGUGAUUUGGUAGAUUGUGCUCAGGUUACGGUUAUAUGAAAUUAGUAGCCGACUUUUAAAAAAAAAAAAAAUCUUUGUGGCGGAUAGAGCAAAGCCAGUAAAUAUAAGUUAUAAUCUAUCGCUUUUCUCAACCCGUCCCGGAAGCAAAGCCCGCUCCCUCCCCCUUCUCCCCAUCGCAGCGAGAGCUCUAUCCUAUAUAACGUCCCGUUCGCUCUCAGAGCAUCACUUCUUAAACCCUAAUCCAUCUCUCUCCCAAUGACACGCCCGUUCCUCCCUCGCGAUUCCCAUGGCUAGCCCUGAAGCCGAGCUCCAUCCCACCCCUUCGCCGCUCCAAUCCCCGCUCCCAGAGGUGCUCUAAUCCCCCGCUCCCGCCUCCUCUCCUUCCAUCCGGUCCCAUGGAGCUCGCCGCGUCGAGUUCUCUCCUUUUCUCUCACAUUUCUCUUCGCCGAACCCCACCAAGAAUCCGUUUUUGCUCCAAGAAAAGAUCAAAUUCCCCCAAAUCUUUGAUUUCUUGCAACUCGAUCGGUCCUGAAGAAUCCGAUGAGAAAGAAACCAAGAAAUCUCGCAUUGGAUUGCUCCAGCUCUCCGUAACCCUAACCGUGAUCUCCUCUUCGCUCCCACAAUCCCCGGCCCAAGCCAAGGUAGCGGAGAAGAAGCGGCCGGCGAAGAAAAGCACAGAGGCUCUCUCCCCCGAAGAGCUCAAGUCUUGGUCUCGUGGACUUCCGACCGUCGGCGAUCGGAUCCCGUACACCGAAAUCUUGAAUCUGAAGGAAGAGGGAAAGCUCAAGCACAUCGUAAAAUUGCCUUCUGUCAAUUUGAAGCAGCGACCAGAUCCGGUAUUGGUCAUUCUUGAAGAUUCUAGGGUUUUGAGGACGGUGCUUCCGACCAUCGAGAGGGAUGAUAAGUUUUGGGAAUCGUGGGAUAGGUUGCAGUUGAAUUCUGUUUGUAUUAAUGCGUAUACUCCGCCGAUUAGGAAGCCAGAGGUUCCGAGCCCCUACUUGGGGUGGUUGGCGAAGUUUCCAAUGUUGUUCUUGAAACCGAAGCCGAAGUCGAAGCGGGCUUUAGAGCUUGAGAAGGCUUGGAAGGAGCUGGCGGAGAGGAGGAAGAUGGAGCUGGCGACGGUGAGGCAGGAGAGGGAGGAGAUGGAGAAGGCUCUCAGAGCUCAGAAGAAGGCUGAUGAGAGGAAGAGGAGAUUGGAGGUGAGGAAGGCCAAGCACGAGGAGUCCCUUCGGCAGGCGAGAAAGAACUACCAGCACAUGGCGCUUGUGUGGGCUGACAUGGCGAGGGACAAGAAUGUCGCAACUGCUAUUGGGGCUUUGAUAUUCUUUAUUUUUUAUAGGACCGUCGUGCUUAGCUACAGGAAGCAGCAGAAAGAUUAUGAAGACAGGCUCAAGAUAGAGAAGGCCGAGGCAGAGGAGCGGAAGAAGAUGAGGGAGUUGGAGAGGGAUUUGGUGGGACUUGAGGGUAGUGGUGAGGAUGAGAGUGAGGAGAAAGGAGAGCAGAAUCCUUACCUUAAGAUGGCAAUGAAGUUUAUGCAGUCCGGUGCUCGAGUACGACGUGCAAAUAGCAAGCGGCUGCCUCAAUACAUGGAAAGGGGUGGUGUAGAUGUAAAGUUCAGUGAUGUUGCUGGUCUUGGGAACAUACGUCUUGAGCUUGAGGAGAUCGUUAAGUUUUUCACACUGGGAGAAAUGUACCGGAGGCGAGGAGUGAGGAUACCAGGUUAGGAUUUUGCAGUCAUCUGACUUGAUGAUAUAUAUUCUCCAAGUAUUUAUUUUACCAUGGUACCUUCUUACUAGUUAUGAGUAAUAAAACUAUAUUAAAAAAUAAAUAUAUUAGGAAAUAAACACUUUUUGAUUGCCGGACUUGUGAUUCUUGUUAUAUUUGCAUCUCUUCUCUCUGUAACUGCUUCGAAAUGUUUGAUAAAUAUGAUGUACAUGAUGUGCUAGACUUUAACUCUCUCGUCACUAGUUAUUGCCUAUUCAUGAAGCUUGAUGUGUUGUCCAUGCUCUUUCCUUAGAACAAUAACUUGUAAACAUGGUAUUAUAUGCUGUUGACUUUAGAUAUAAGUUGCAUCAAACCAGGAGAACAAUAUUUCGACAUGCACUUACAUAUGUACUGAUCAAUUAUUGGCUCUUAAUAUGCUUGAAUUCUUCUUCUUUGUUUAUAAGCCAAACUUUGUUGUCACUUACAAUUCUUUUUUCCGGACUGCUCUUUUUUUGAACUUCUAUAAGUUAAGCAAACUGGAUUGGGCUCCAAAAAGAUAUCGUACUGCACUAUGCUAGUGAGCGAGGCUGCUAGAGAAUCAAUUGAAUUAAUCCUUCCUAAAUAAUUGCUCCAUGCACCUGGCUGUUUACAAGACUUAAGACUAUUGAAUUUCUUUUAACUAUGCUAAGGACCACUUGAGGCCCAAGAGAGAUAUGCUUUAAUAAGUGGGCUAAAUGUCUAAUCUUUAAGAGGUUCAGAAGAAUAACUGAGCCUCUUAUCUAUGUCUUGACUGUAAAGCAACUGCAUUUUUCCCUGAUUUGAUGCUUCUGGAGAUUGGGACACCCCUCAGCAUCUUGGUCUGUUUCACAGAGUUGGGACACCCCUCAGCAUCUUGGUCUGUUUCACAGAGUUAGAAUUCUUUGUAGACAUAGGUAUAAACUUAACAGAACUACUGACAAAAUUAUCAUUCUUGAGCUGGAAAUUUCAGUUCAGCGCUUUGUUCUCUUAGAAUCAGAGCAGGUGUAGGAGCACUCCACAGUGGUGGGUUGUAUAUCCUUUGUAAAAGGUUUGAAAUAGCUCAACUUCAAAGACUUCAAUCAACAUUUGUAAGUUGUCUUCCUCGAGGCAAUAUUCAACAAAUCCAAAAAUUUGGAGUACUUCCUUUUCCAUUGCAGAAAUUUUGUUGUAAAAACUGAUAAUUGUUUUCUUGGUGGACUUGUCAUCUUCCACAUCUUCCAAGUUCAUACUUAGAUGCAGUUAAUGUAAUUAAGUCUUACCAGCAUCACUGUGAAGGUAGCUAAGAUUAUCAUCUCUUUCUUUGUAUGCUACUUUCUUUUGUUGCAUCAUGUCUUGGAAAGUUCCCAUAAGCUUAUUUUUGCUGGCUUUAUCUCCUCGUUUGAUGAUGCAAAUCAAACAUAGGUCAUUAUGAGAUUGGGGCAUAUAUGGAAACCUACCUGGUUUGUGGGAGAGUCCUAUUAGAUAGUUUCAUAUAUGUUAGACAUAAUAUGCGUAUUUGAGUUUGUGUCAUUGCUUGCCAUCAAAUAUCUAGCCAUCUAUAUGCAUGAGUUUCAGGUGGAUUUACCAGACCAAGUGGUCAAAUGGUUUAGCUGUUAUGUUGAACUAACUAUUAGAUACGCAUCAGGCAUUUUUUGUCACAGCUUCCUAUCUAGAUGAUCUUUAGUGAGGUCUUUCCAGAUUGGACUCAUAUCCUUCCCUUCAUUAACCUGUGAACUUAGAUACAUGUGAGUUACAAGCAUAACUAUGGUGAAAAAAAUUUCCUUGUCAACUUGGAGUUUGGGAAACAUGCUUAGGGAAUUGCUUUAGUUUGUGAGUGGAAUUUAAUGUGAAGCCGAUGGCCUGAGUUGAAUCUCUUUACUCGGUUGACUUCAUUUGGCUUCUAUUAUAUAGGAGGGAAGGAGGGAGGGAGAUGCUGAUGUGGGCCCAUCAUUGCUAGAGGCACCACUCCACGACCAAAUGCUAUAUGAAAAAGAGGAAAGAAAGAAGAGUCACGCAUAUGUUUCUAUUUUUGGUGGGCUUGUAUAAACACCCAUUACAUACAUAUUUCAAGCAAGAGAAAGGAUUUCAAAAUAAAAAGUUAAUUUGUCAAUCGCUGUUCAGGGACAGAGUAACAGACUGGUCCAGGGGCACACUAUAGUAGACUAGUUUCCUAUUGGUUUCUUAUAGGCUUACAAGAAAUUUGAUGCAUUUCGUACUGGACUUUGUCCAUUUCCCGUUUCUGCUAUAAAGAUUUCUCUAACUAUCAUUUUCUGCUUCUCGCUUAUAAAUCUGUUCGAGUCCAGUUCUCAUAUUGGCAAUCUGCUUACAUGUAAGUCCAUAAGAUUUUCAAGUCAACUUUAUUUCUUUUGAUACCUCUCCAUCUCAAAAUAAGGCUCUUGUCUGCAAACAAGUUAUUUUUCUAUUGGCUACAAUCUUUUUUAUGUAGUCCUUGACAUGUUAGAUGCAUGCAAAUUAUUCAAAGAGAGUAUUAGAUUGAUGGCAAUGAUCCCAUAUGCAAACUGAUGAACUGUAUCAGUUCUAUGUAUAUUCUUUACUUAUGUGAUGUAUUUGGAAUUUUCAUGUGAUUGAUUCAACGUGAAAGGGUAUUUGAUGGAUGGAUCUAAUCUGAUCAACCAAUUAAAGGCUACAUGUGCAAUCUCAAAGAGCAUUUAUGUGAUAGUUGCGAUCCCAUCAUGUCCGGUGCAUGUGGUAGACUCAGGUGGCAUGUAUAUUUGAUGGAUAGUUGCAAUCUCAUCGAAUAUAUCUCUUAUGCCACAUUGAUGUUGGGUAGACCUGGGUGUCUUCUUCCAUUCUUAGAUGAUAACUUGCAUUAUAUUGGUAAACAAGGAAAAGUGCAUAGAAGAGGGGCAAUUAGUGUUUGAUGGUGCAUGGUAAUUGCAUCACAAUAUUCCAGAGCUACUCUAUCUUCUAUGUUCUACCAACAUGUAAUUCCAUAAAGUCGAAUGCUUGAAGAAAAGUUUGACUAAUCUGUACUAUUUAUAUAAAAAUGAUAGUCUUGAAAUCAUGGACCAUUCUCUCUUGAUUCAGUCUGUCAUUGUAUAUUCCAAGAAUAUCCCUUCUAUUUAAUCUUAAAAAAUAUGUUAAUUACCCCACUAACUUUCUUGCUCAUGUUUACUACCACAUGUGCUCUCUCUCCUUUUCCAAUCGAAUGAAACUCCUGUCAUGAAACUCCAAAACAUAUUGGACUCUUUAUCUUUCUUCAUUUGACUCCCAAAUAGAUUCUUUGUUUCGACUCCUAAACUGAUUGGACUCUAUCACUUGCUCUUUCUUCUAUAUUCCCUUAAACAUGCAUUGCACAUGCCUACUUGCUAGUAUAGAGUUCAUUCAGUUGUUCACUAAGCAUGAUUAAUUAGUUUUCUUCUGCCUCAAGUAUCCUUAAGGCUUCUAUUUUGUUUUCAUAUGCUUUAGUUGUAUUUAUUGAACGUUUGUUGUGCAACUUAUCAUAUCAAUUUACCUGGCACUAAAUGAUUGCCGUUCAGGUGGCAUACUACUGUGUGGGCCUCCUGGAGUGGGUAAGACGUUAUUAGCAAAGGCUGUUGCUGGCGAGGCUGGUGUGAACUUUUUCUCAAUUUCUGCGUCACAAUUUGUAGAAAUAUAUGUGGGUGUUGGAGCAUCUCGUGUCCGUGCACUCUAUCAAGAAGCAAAAGAGAAUGUGAGACCUGUCAAGUUGCUCCAGUUUUUCUGUCUUUUUUAAUUUGUUUCUUACAAUUUUUUUUUAAAUUCUUAUUUUUCUUUGUUUGUACAUUAAUAGUCUGCUUGAUGUUAUAUGAAUAAUUUUGUUUUAAAAGCUUUAGUGCUGUCAGCAUCUUCAUAUUAAUAAAUUGAUUUUUUUUUCAAAAAGAUUAGGCUAAUCCCCACCUUUCUACCCUAUAGCCACUCCAUCCCUUGAGGGCUGACUCCAACUGGAAUCAAAUCCCUACCCCCUUGCCCAAGUGGCAAAGGUGAUAUCCAUCUGAGCAAGAGCUCAAUGGUAACAAUUUGCUUAAGCUAUGCAAGUAGGUUUCUUUUUAACAAGAAAAGAGCUGUUUGAACUUUGAACAUAAUAUGCUUUUCAUUUCCUUGUUGAUCAGAUUAAUUUGUGGGGCCAUAAUGUUCUCCUUAUUCAUAGAUUGAUAUUCAGAAGAUUAUGUAAAUAUUACCUCUUGUCAUAUGCUAGGCUCCUUCUGUUGUGUUCAUUGAUGAGCUGGAUGCUGUUGGAAGAGAACGUGGUCUAAUUAAAGGUUCUGGUGGACAAGAACGAGAUGCUACUCUCAAUCAGGUAAGAAAAUCAAUAUGAAUUAGAUAUGAGCUAUUUAAUGAUACUUAUUGUUCUUGAAAGUAUCUAAUUAUAUUAACAUCCUCGGAUUCGCUGAAGCUCCUUGUGUGCUUGGAUGGGUUUGAAGGAAGAGGUGAUGUAAUCACCAUUGCUGCAACCAAUAGACCAGAUAUUCUUGAUCCGGCACUUGUGAGGCCUGGGCGGUUUGAUAGGAAAAUUUACAUCCCAAAACCUAGCCUCAUUGGCCGUGUUGAGAUUCUGAAGGUAUUGCUCCUCCAUUGGUUUAUUAUGUUAAUGCAGUUUUUCUUUCCCAUAACUGUAGUAUCCUAUAGUUGCAUUUCUGUUUUUCUGCUGGCCUUUUUCUCAUAAGGGUUUUACUUCUUAGGUGAAUUGAGCAUUAAAUCAGUCAGACUGGUUACAGCAAAUUAUGAUUUCAUUAUAGCCAAAAAAUGAAAAGACCACUGGAUAAAACUUUUACAUAUAUCUUGUCUGCUGUAUUGGAUGUCCCAUCUUCAGACAUCAUGCUUUAAAAUUUGUUCAGUUACUCCCAUUGCAUAAAGCUUGGUCAUGGCAUCUAACGGUCAUCAUUUUACAUAUCCAUCUAGCCAAAAUUUUUAGAAGUUCACAGGAAGAAUUCUGUACUUUAAACUGUCGAUUGCAUGUUAAAAAGGUUGAGUUAUAUUAACCACAUAAGCACACACCAGAAAGAAGAUCCAUCAUUUAGUUUUCCUUCUAAAUUUCUAAUACUUGAUAUAGGCAGAUGUUCUGCAAAUAUGUGUGACAAUCCUUUACCAGCUGCUGUUAACAGGUCCAUGCUCGUAAGAAACCAAUGGCUGAUGAUGUUGAUUAUGUGGCUGUAGCUAGUAUGACUGAGGGGAUGGUUGGUGCUGAGUUGGCCAACAUAGUUGAAAUUGCUGCAAUUAAUAUGAUGCGUGAUGGAAGGUCUGAGGUAUGUCACCUCUUGUUAACUUCUGGCAGUACUUCGGAAUUUCUUUGCUUAGUCUUGAUUCUUGUAAUAUGAAAAAACGGCAUAUCCUUCUUUUCUUCAUACAAAAAUGCCUGCUUUCUGACCGAGAUUCAGAUGUGCAUGUCUAAUUUCAGUGUGAUCAAAUAUGGUAAAUAAAAAAUGUAUAUAAUAACAUAAAUUUUGAAUUUUUAUUAUCUACUUCCGAUUCUGACCCUCUCUAUUAUUCUGUGAUUUUUCAAAUAUAUAUAUAAAUAUUUGACCAGACAAUCAUAACUAUAUAGCCGGCAUCUUAUACGAACCUUUUCUCUGAGUAGCAAGAUUAGAGUGUAAGCCAAAAAAUUAUAGGCACUGGCAUUUGAAGUUUACAUUCAAUUUAGUCAUUUCAAGCCGGCAUGAGUAACAAGCCUUAUACCAACUAUAUGGGGACAAUUUCCUCUUCUAUUUCUAGAUUCUAUAACACAAAUCUGACCCCUUUUUUCCUAGGAAUCUCUCGGAUCUUUAUUUGUAUGUGUAUGCCGAGGCCUGUACAACUUUUUUACUUGUUUAGUUGCAAAUUCUGUGUCUGAUAAUGAACUUAUUUCUGUUCCUAAUUACCCUAGGUUAAUCUCACAUGGAAUUCAUACAUGCAGUGUUCUUCCUGUGUGUUAGGUUCAUAUUUUCUUUUCAAGCAUUUAAUUUAUAUAACAUUAUCAUAAAGCAUUUGUUUUGAAGUUGCAGUGGGGGCACAACGAUCACAGAAGAAGAACCCUUUUAUAUGUUUAGAUAAAUCUCAGAGUACCCUUUUACCACCAUUUGUUAUAUUAAGCCAUAUUAUUCUACUGGUGUUCUAGAGCAUAAUAUAUGCACGGAUACACAUCGAAUCACAUGCCUGUGUGCAUAGACACACUAAAGCAUAUUCCACAUAUUUCUCAUGAUUUUCUUAUGAGAGCUUGUGAAGAUCCUGACUCUUAUGUAACAUAUAGCUCUUGCUUUAUGACCAGUUUUUUCAUAAGUAUUGGUAUAAGUAGUAUAGUGUUUGAAUUCUUGCAUAUACACCAGAACUAUAGCCAUCAAGUUUUAUCCCAAGUAUCUGGGGUCAGCAUACAUAUAUGUACACAGAUUUCGUUACUAUUCUAUAGGUGUAUCUUAAAUGGAGGGGAAGGAGGUGUGCAGUGUGCAUGCAUGUAGUGGGUUCUUGAGUACAAUAUUUCGAGAGUUUCACUUGCUUAGAUGGCCUUGCUGGUGUGUUGUCUGUUCUCUGGUCUUUAUUUUGUUAAGGGAUGGACUAACGUAAUCUGCAUGUUAUGUCCAUUAUGUAACUUGAUGGUAAUAUCUUGGCAUAAAUUUUGCUUUCCCAUGUUUCUAGAGUUCAAGUUUUUACUCUAAUUGCUAGCCAUCAAUCUAAUGAGAAUUACUUGCAUUAGUGCAGAUAACAACUGACGACUUAUUACAAGCUGCACAAAUAGAAGAAAGAGGAUUUCUUGAUAAAAAGGAUCGAAGUCCGGAGAUGUGGAAACGACUGGCCCUUAAUGAAGCAGCUAUGGCUGUUGUGGCUGUGAACUUUCCUGAUAUUAAAAAUAUUGAGUUUGUAUUUCCUAAAGUUCCCUAUUUCUUGCUUAAUUUUCUUCAAACACAAUCCAUAUUCUGCUUACAUUUGUUCAUUGCAUCUGUCUUUGGGGCUAUGAAUUUUCUUGAAUUGAAGAAUAUUAGAAUAUCUGCCUGAUAUUUUAAUUUAUUCCUUGCUCAGUUUUCUUUCGUGCAAACUAAUUUUCUCCUUGCUGUGCUAGGAGUAUCCAUGAUCAUGCAAUGAGAUUUUUCCUUGAUCAUUGAAGAUCUUUCAGGCUUAUGAAUAGAAAAUGGCAUAUCAUUUUGCUGUUAUUACAUUUUCACCACCUGUAGAGUAGAAAUAUUUAUUCAGUGAUUUUCAAAAGAAACAACAGAUAACAAUCGGUGCAACAACAUUGCUUGCUAUAAAAGGAUUUAAGGCAUGACACUUUGGCCUGUCUUGAAGACAAGUUGCUUGAUCGGUUCCUGUGUCUGCAUGAAUUUGUGCGCAAUCAUUUGAUCAACUACAAUUUUGCUGCUCUUGAGAUUCUUCUUAAUAAGUCAGCACAUAAAUAAUUUUGAUGAUAUGCUAGUGUCUUGUUUGCUUCUACCAGGUUACCAUUGCACCUCGAGCUGGCAGAGAACUAGGCUAUGUGCGAGUGAAGAUGGAUCACAUGAAAUUUAAAGAAGGAAUGCUUAGGUAUUUUAUGCCCUUUUCCGGAUUAAGCACUUUGCAUUAACUUCAAUUCUCCAGUAGUGAAAUGUGACUUCAAAAUUAGGUUUAAUAAUAGCGGCUCUUCCCCUUGUUAGUUCCUCUAGGUAGUAUUAUUUUCUAAGAAAGUUUUGAUUGUUAGACUUUCUUUUGAUUUUUACAGCCGACAGUCCCUUCUUGAUCACAUCACUGUUCAAAUAGCACCUCGUGCUGCUGAUGAAAUUUGGUAUGGUGAAAAUCAGGUAUGAAACAUUUAAAAUAUUGGGGUUUCUUUCUAUCAGUUUUGAUAUUUGAACCCUUCUCUUCUCUACUGACUAAGAACUGGGCAUCAAUGUGUGACCUUUUAUGCUUCUUGUUUGUACGGUUGUUGUUGGUGUUAUUUAUCUGUACAUUGUAAAAGUUAGAAGAAAUGCACUCCUUGAGGAUAAAAUGGCGAAAUGGUUCAGAUUCUAUGGCAUUCAACAAAGAUGUGAGUGUUACUAGUGAUAGGGGCUAGGGAUGGAUCUUCGUUUGCGACAUAACAGCUAAAAACAGAGCGGAUUUGAAUAUCUUGCAAUUUACAAGAAAGGAUUUGAAAAUACUUGAUGUAUGUAUAAUAUGGCUUUUAACAAGGAUGUAUUCUGAAGGACACAUGCACAUGCUUUGCAGCACUGGGCCAUAUCCAUACCGGGCAUAUCAACUUGUAUCAGUAGCGAACUAAUACUCUGUAUGCCUUCUAUACGAAGUAUCAAUACCAAGAAUCAGACUGUAUAGACACUGUAACAGUUAGGUACCAGUAUGGUACUGAAACAUAUACUGGGAACCUUGCUCAUGUAUGCAAACAGAGAAUGUUGGAAGAGGCCUUAUUAGUUAUUGUAGAUUGUGGUGGUCAUGAUCGUUUUAUGAUACCAUAAAUAUAUACUUCUGUGUACUUUUUUUUUUGUUUGCAUGCGUGGGUGAUUGAUCAAAUGGCUGCCAAUAAUUGGGAAAGUUUGUUAUGACUUGUGACUAUUAUUGAUUUUUGAUUGAACAUGAAGACCAAGGACUGGUCACUAAAACAUUUGUCCCUGAGAUGUCCAUGUCUGAAAUGACACGCAUGCCUGACAGUGGAGAUCAGUCCUAAGAAGAACUAGACUUAUUACUCCUGCACAAUUAGUGACUGUUUUUGCGAUGGCAUUCCCUUCUCUAAAUACAUGACCCUGCGUGGAUAGUUGAGCUCAUGUCAAUUGUUCAAUUGUUUGCCUUCAAUCUUAUGCUGGCAUUUUCAUCUGCAUUUUCUCUUUUGAGGACAUGUUUGCAUGAUUUUUUAUCCACAUAUUGUGCAUGUGUUUUGUUGUUUGUAUCCAUGUAUGGAUAUCAAUUUUACUAUUGAUUUUUUUUUCUUCCUGUUGUUGGGUCCUAAGAUACCAGAUUACAUAGCAUUAAUUGGAUCAGUGAUUGGAUGCUUGUAGGCAGCUAUUUGUCUCAAACCAAAUUUCCUCCUCUUUUGCUUGGUCUGAUAUAAUUUCUGCUAGAAAUUUUCUUGGGAUUUUAGAUUCUUAUAAUGGUCAUUAGGGAAGCCAGUCAUAUGAUUUGUGUUGCUUUAAUUUGAUCUUACGAGAGGGACCCUCAUGAGAUGAGAAGGCUUUCACUUCAAUGAAAGCACUUCUGUAUGUCAGGAACUUGAUCAUUCAUCAUGGACGCUUAUGUGAAUAUGCAUAACCACAACUCAUUUAUGGUAGUCCACACAAUAUUUGUGAGAAAAGUUACUUUGAGAAAACACUUCUAAUAUGAAGGUGAUUUUUGAUAUAAUAUCUGUAACUUAGAGCUCCAUGAGACAAUGUUUUGCUGGGCAGAAUGAAUCUUUAUCUUGUUGGCAACAAACUAACGACCAACUCUGACCAUAGGUCCUGUUCAAGGCAAAUGACAUCUAUAUAAGCCAAGAUAUAAGAAACUACUGUGGCUUCUUUCUAUUUGGCUCUUCAUAUAUUGUUCAUUUCAUGUUUCCACUUGCCCACAAGAUAAAAGGCUUCUAGUUGCAAAGAUAUUCACAUAUCUUCAGCCUCAUACAAUCAUGACCUUGCUCUUCUGAUUUUUGAAUAUUAGUGGUCGCCUAUCAUUGUUUUGGGCAUGUUUCUGUUCACCUAACAAAGUUGUUUCCUGCUUAUUAUGGCUUACUGGACAAUGCCUUUAAAGGUUCAAACUUCUGGUGUUUUAUGGUUUAUUGUUCUAAUUAUCUGGGGACUAAUGUAACACAAAUGGAAAUUUUAUGAUAUGGAACAGCUGAGUACGAUUUGGGCAGAAACAGCAGACAAUGCUAGGUCAGCUGCACGGAGUUUUGUUCUUGGUGGUCUUUCUGAAAAAUAUUAUGGGCUAUCUGACUUCUGGGUCGCAGAUCGUAUCAAUGUAUGCUUCAUGAACUUAUGUUUUGUGCCGCAAUUGUUCCUCUCAGCUUAUCAUGUAUGAUAAUAUUUCUGUCAUCAGGAAAUUGAUCUGGAGGCAUUGCAUGUUCUAAACAACUGCUAUGAACUUGCAAAAGAGGUACCUGUGUUCAUUAAACAUCUAAUUUCUUUUGGAAAAAGGUUAAUUAGAUGGCCUAACAUAUGCAAUUGUAAUUCAUAUUUUGCAGAUUCUGCGACGUAAUCGCCUCCUUAUGGAUUCUGUGGUCAAUCGACUAGUUGAUAAGAAAAGUCUCACCAAGCAGGAGUUUUUUAACCUGGUUAAGGAACAUGGACAUCUGGAGCCUAUGCCACGCAAUAUUGUUGAUAUUAGGAAUAGCAAACGCCUGCAGUUUCAACAAAUGAUGAUGGCGCGAAAGGAAUCAACCCAUGGAAGCCGUCUGUGAGAGAUGCCAAGAGAACUUACCUUAGGUAUGGCAUGUUGCUUUGGAACUUGCCAGAUAAUUUGCUGUCUUUUGAAUUAUGCUCCUUCCUAUACAUUAGUAGUUUCUCGAUUGUCAUUUUUGAAGUAAUCGCAUGUCCUUAGUUUUACUUGAUGUUGAUGUUUAAAUUAUAAGUGCUAAUCACAUAAACCAUGUCAGAUAAUACAAUUAUCUCAAGAAGCCAAUAUCUAUCAUUUUCAGGGCCUGACUUUUAUUGAGUUUCUCAGCUAAAAAGAUAUUGAAGAUUAUCAAGUGAUCUGCUAGUUCCUAGUUUAUGACAUUUUUGCAUUAUAAUAAUCAAUUGUUUUCUUUUAUUGAGCACGUUGUCUGUUAAUAUCACAUAUUAUUCACCUCAGCUCGCAUGUUAUGAUUUUCUGUGACCUUUUGUGGAUUAUUUAAUUAAUUGCUUUUGACUAACAGCAUCUUUUACUUGGAUUGAUAUUUGAUUAUCUAAUGGGCAUGCAGGUCAGCAGACUAAAUAACACCCCAUGAUGUUUUCUUUUUUCACAGACGCUGGCUUCCAUAGCCCAGGAUGGCUUCCCAUUUAUUUGGACGUGUUCUUAUUUGCCAAAUGCUGCACUCAAUACCUGUCUAGAAUCUGGUUCUGAUUAUUCUCCCAUUAUCAAAUUUUCUUACUGCUAACCACUUGUGUGGUCAUGGAAGGUGAUGGCUCUUCCGAUGCGGCCAUUCCUGUUCUCUCAGGCCAUUUCUCAGUCUUUUUUUUUUUUUGUGAUAAUCUCCCAAAUUACCAAUACAGCUGCAACCAUUGAGUUUGGUUGAUUAAGAGGUUGUCCUGAGAGGUUUACUAGGUCCAGUUUCUCAGAGAUCUGUUCACACAAGAUUCACUUUGUAAGAAUCUUUUAUGUAGAUAAUAAUUUAUGCCCUGUUAGGAUAAGCGGGUGUAUAACUUCAAUUUUUCAGAGAUUUGAAUGCAAAAGUGCUCUCCCAACACCCUGAUCAUGAGACUUCUAUUGACUUUUCUCUCUUCUUUAGGAGCACAGCUCUGAGUAUCUGUGGCUGGUGUAAAGCACUACUAGUGGAUUACAUCCAGCUGUAGGAUUCCCUGUUCCUGCCUGCGUGGGGCCUCUCUGUGUUCCUUUUGUCUAACGUGCUAAAUGUGCUGCCCCUUGAAAAUUUUUUACCCUGCACAACAGAUUCUACCGGUCAAGGAACUACGCAUGGAUAUGAAAUCAUUAGCAUGUGGUCGGUGUUAUUGAAGGGAAGAAGUCCGUGUUUAACUACGCUAUGAUCUCACGUUCCAGGGCUGUGUCCACGGUUCAUGUGGCCAUCACUGUAGAAGUAUUCUUUAAAAGAUAGUAUUCUUGGUAAUGAAUUUCAUGUUGGUAUUUUGAAUGCUGGUUGGUGCAGUACAGUACGUCCCCAUGUAGAUGCAUGAUGCGUCGAUUGAUACAUGAUACAUUCUCAUGUGUUUACUGAGUCCUUGUAUUGUAUCCAUGUUGUAUCUGAAAGCACGUGCCAUGCUAGUCAGAGAGGUUGGCACUUAAGAUCUUAAUUUGAAUUUUUUUUUUUAUAGUGAUUGUAGAAUCAGACCGUCACUGUAUAAAAUACUGGAAAAGAAAUUUGAAAACGGGUAAAAUUUUAUACUUCAAUAAAGCAACUGUAGAACUAUUUUAAGAUCACUGUAUAAAGUAUAGAAAAUAAGAUUAAAUAAGAUUAAAUGUAGAGAGGAAUUCUUGAAUUGUUUGCUUAUCCCUUAGACCGUUAAUGUUUACUCUCAGCUUGUUAAUGUUUAUUCCUGAGCAGGUUAUAUUAAUUUUAUUCAAACUUUCUCCUUGUCUUUUCAGGUUAAAUGGAUAUUCUGGAUAUGUUAGUAUUUAUUACUUAGGAUAAAUGUUGAUUUGCCCUGCUACAUCCUAGGCGCUUACCCAAGAGGGACAAUCAUGAAGUCAAACUGGAGCUGCAUACCACACUAUCAUAUUACUUUAUAGCAAGAAACUGAGAAGACAUUCUCUAAAAAUCAGGCUGUUUAUUCCAGUUUUAGUUGCAAACAAAAGAAUUUGCAACUUAAGAAAAAAAAACACCAUGCAUUGGCCCCUUCUCAAAAGAUAGCAUUACAACAAACCUUAGAAUUACUGUGUGUCAAUUGCCAAUGUAGAUAACAUCCAACAAAAUUACAUGCAUUUCAUCAUAUAACUAUUAAAAGCUUUUGGUCUAGUACUCUGGUAAUCCUUCAACCUCAUCAUCAUAUUAUUGUUCAUUGGAAGAAUCCUCAAUGACAGUGUGUUCCAAAUCAUCAACUUGCACAAAUGUAUAACAAUGAAAUUUGAAGAUUUUGCCAAGCUCGAUAGCACAAAGAAUUAGCAUAAUACUUGCAUAUAGAGGUUUGAAAGACAUCACAUAGCAUAAUACUUGGCCUAUCUAUCUGAUCAUCGGACAUAAAGAGUUUUGUCGAGCGAUACAUAACUGGCCACAUUGCUUCCUCUAUCUAUAAAUACUGGUUGGUGUGCUGAAGAUAGUUAUCAACGUAUACACUUUCUGUAUCCAUCUAUAGUAUAAUUCCAUCUAAUUAGUACCAAUGAACACAAAAAAUAAAUUGCAACAUAAUUCAACCCAUAAAUAAGGAACUUAUAUUCAACUACAUUAAGUUAACUUGGAACCAUUACCAUUAAAUGUGGUCAAUUUUUUUAGUUCGUAAAGUUGAAGUUGCUAGCUCAAUUAUCUAAUUUCUGUUGUUUUGCACUGUAAUCCAUCCAUAAGACCAGCUCCUGUAGCAACAAAAAUGUUGCAUUCACACAGAUAAGAGAUUUUCACAGCAAAAUUACCUCUAUAAAAACUAAUAUUUAGAAAAUAAUCCAUCAACCAUUAAUAAAUGGAACAUGCUGCAAAACACAAAGUAAUUGAUCUACUCCUAUCUGUUGGUACAACAUUAUUUUCUCUUAGGAAAAGUUGUUUGUGUACGUUUCUUCUCCUAAAAGCUAAAGUUUAGUGUUUAUUCCAGCAAACUAGGUGUUUAUCAUUUUAGGCUAAAUGUUUAUCAUUGAUAUGUUAAUGGUUAUUACCGUAGGAUAAAUUUUUGUUACUUGGACCAUGGAAAGUAAUUGAUUACAUUUAUUCAUGCACCGGUUUGUAAUAGAACAUAUUCAAUUUAUUUUUCUAUACUUCUAACUCCUCAAUGAUGCUAGCUCUCUUUAUCAAGCUCCAGACACUAUAAUUUGGUUUGCUUAAACAGUUUUCUAUAGCAGAUGCAUGCUCCCAUCCCUCACAUUAUUGUGAUCUCGAAGGGCUUUGCCAGGUAGUGCAAACAACUAAGUAACAAUCCUUUCACGGUCAUUUUUUUUCUUCUGAUAAGCAAUUUAAUCUUUUGAAGCACAAGCCCUCUCUUUAUGACAUUGGAUGUAACAAAGCACGCAUUAAUCCCAUUAAUGCGUCAACUCUGGGAGAAGAGCAAGAACUAGAAGAAUAGAGAGGAGAGAGAGGGUAGGCGGCGUCAACGCUGGGCAUGGGCGUGUCCUAAGGGAGAGGGGCAUGUCCUAUCCCAUUAAUGCUUUUGUUUUUUUUUCCUCUCACUGCAGCUGCUUGUGGAAUAAUUGUUAAUGGCAGUUGGUACUUUAAGAUGUCAACCAGGAGAUGACAAUUUCUACUUAAAAUGAAAACAAAAGGGGAUAAACUUAGGUUUGACCCUUCCUCAUUUUCUCCAUGGCUCAUGACAAUUUCAAGGCAGCUCGAAACCAGUUGAAAUACAUAGAUAAUUUAUUCCUUGCAGAAAUCCCUUGCAAGGUGAAACUUCUUAGAGUAGACGGUGCUGCUUAUAUUUGAAUAAUGAAAAACAGAAACCAAUAUUUGAAUAAUGACAAACAGGAACCAAACUAAUGCAAUGACUUAUCAAAAAGUUCUUCCAUAACAACAUCGUAAACUCAUUUUUAUAACUGCAAAUAUGCUUCUGAGUUUAAAAUAUUACCAGAUCAGCCACAAAAUCAGAGUUUAAGCCCUUCAAUAUUUUGUCCAGAAAAAUGUUCUUAGAGCUUCAACUAUCUUCUCUGGCCUGAUCCACAUUAUUUGUUGACCAUGUAAGAAAGGAAAUCAAAUAUUAAGCGGAAUAAAUUUUAACAAAAAUCAUAUUGUGUAGGUAUUAUAUCCUCAAGAAGUUCGAUAGACUUGUGAUGAAUUGUAGUUACCAGUCCUCUUGUGGCAUAUGACCAGCUCCUUCUAUUGGCUUAAGUUUGACAACACCAGGGUUUCUCUUCUGAAACUCUUCAGCUUCAGACAGAGGCAAAUACUUAUCUGCUAUUCCCCAUGCAAGCAAUAUUGGUUUAUCCCAACUGUUGUUCAAAAUUUGAUAAUCCAUUUAAAUGCACAAUAAUAACGUUUCAAUAGAUUAACAGCUCUACACUACUUUAUAAUUGAACUAAAUGAUUUUACUAACACCAAAUCAAGGUUUUGAAUUUUAUGCUGAGUAAUCUAGAUCUUGGCAUGCACAUGAGCCAGCAGUCCCCCUAAGACCGACCAGCAAUGAAAUCCCAACAAUUUCAAGAAAUUAAAAGGGAAACAAUUACAAGGCAAGUUCGACAAGGUCAAGAGCUGAAAGAGGGUGAGACAAAUUUUCACUCCAAAAAUCAAGAACCCAAUGAUCCCAAGGCAUGUUCAACAAGGUCAAGAUUUCAGUCAAAAUUGAUAUAGACAAGUCAGUUAUAGAGAAAAAUAUAUGAUAUGUAAAAUGACAACAUAGAAAACAUGUAUAAAAUUGGCUAUUUAACAUUUAUACUCAAAAAUAAUUUCUUAAAAAAAAAAGAAUACUUAACAACAAGCAAUAUGCUUGUCAUGUAUGUCGGUUUUAGCUUUUAUGGCAUAGCAAGUACUGUACCAACAGCAUAUCAAUUACACCAUUUGUAACUGUAAACAUUUUAGAUAUCAUACUGAAUUUCAGAUAUAAUAAUCCAGACUACGCAAGGAAAAGUAAACUGUUGAAUUUGACCUUGUAGAUGAAAAUCCACCUGCUAUUCGACUUAAAAUAUCUUUAAAGUUUGCUUUCCUUGCUGCUUCGAGCAAUGCUAAAGGCAUCAAGAAGACAAUAAUUAAAUUAGAAAAACAAAAUAGUAGAUAAAUAUGGAAGUUGAGAAAUUUUCUGCUGGGUAUGUAUUUUUGCCUCCAUGGGAAGAAUUUAGAAUAUGAAUACAAAAUACAGUCAGGGAACUUGAUUAUUAUGACAUUUGCAAGUUUUAAUUUUAAAAGAGCAAUGCUUAUAUCUACAGAUUAUGCAGUUAACAACUUGACUAAUCAACCCGUUGACAAAAGACAAGCUAUCAUACUUCUGAUGAAACUUGAGCUAAUGUUGGUGCAAAUGCAUUUCUCAUGCAGCAAUAAAACCACAUGUAAACUAUAAAAGAGCUUACGUCCUGAGCGUGUCACAAUGAUAGGCGUAUGAAUUACCAUUACAUAAACAAUUCAGCUUAUGAUACAUAUGAUGCACCAUGUUUUCCGACAUGAUAGAGGGGGUGCAUACCAGCACUAGCUCAAAUCAGCAUGUAUCAACCCAUAUUUAUAGCAAAUUCAUAGCAAUAUGUCUGGUACAGCUCACAGCAUUGGCUGAUUGAUGGGUGGAGAAAGUUCUGGAAGUUGAUUGUUUUAUUUGGAUGGACUUACUCACAAACCUCUCUAGUUACAUUGAAUUUCUUUUUUGCUUUUAUAUGUAUCUAACACAUAGUCGGCGGAACCGUCCUGAACCGACCAGUUUGGGGUGUCCCGAGCCGCACCGCGGCGGACCGGAGGCUCCCUGACUUCCACCGGCUAGCCAGCCUCUCUCUUCCUUUCUCUCUCUCCCUCCCUCCCCCGCUUUCUCUCUCUCUCUCUUUUUCGCUCUCCCUCCCUCUCCUCCGCCUCUACUGUGUCGGUACUGGGUCGGCCGGGCAUGACGCUGGGCCAUAACCCACGCCGUCGGGCAACCGAUAUGGGGCCCGAUACCGGCACAACAUGCGUUGAUCUAACAUAAUGCUUGUUUUGAGCAUAUCAGUGAGUCAAACUUAGAAAGUGAAAUGUUAGGACCACUAUUGUCAAUGUCAACAUUGUUUAGUUAAUAUGACUUAAGAUGUUAGUUACAUAUAUGCCAUGACAUACCUACAUGUCACUAUACUCAAAACAGAAGUAACCCUGAUUUUCUUUUUAAGUUAAUCCCAGUAUAUCUUAGAAUGCAUGUUGUGUACUAGGAAAAUCAUGAACAGACAGCGUCACUACAUUGUAUCAUGGUUUGGAUGGUACAAUUGGCAAGAGGAGGGGGUUCAAUUCCAUAGAGCAUUGGCCCUCGCUUUGUCUUCAUCAAUAUGCAAGUCCCUGUUUCAGCCAGCAGUGGCUCGGUCUGCCUAGGGGCCUAAGCUCCAGCCCAGGUGAGGGUGGGGUCGUAUAGGGCAGAUUGGGCGGAUAUCCCCUCCAAGCAUCAAGAAAAUUCCCUACUUUUCAAUGUGAAGUCAAGAUAUUCUACUUCAUAAGUCAGUCUGUUUCUAAAUGAUGUACCAGUAAAGGCACGUACAAACUGAAUGCUAUAGAUGUCUUUAAAAUAAUAAGAUCAUUACUUAUUACUAGUUAUAACUUAUAAUGCAUGUGCAAAUGCAUGAGACUACUACUAAAGAUUUUGGAUAUAGUAUUUUCUUAAAAAUAUGGAUCGGGUGCUCAUAUGCAUUCCUCAUGAAAUUGUUUAAGGUUUAUUUGGAAUAAGACAUUCUUAACCUAGACAAGCUUAAGUUUUGCUAUGACCAACAGGUCAAUUUAGUUUGGAUUUUAGAGGACAUUCAACUCUUAAUUAUAGAUAUAAGCAUGGAAAUUCCUACUUAAGGAAGAUUCUCCCUUUGAGUUUCUAAGAGUCCAACAAUGUCAAGAUCCUUUCCUAUAUCAGUUUAGCAUGGUUUAAUCUCUACGGAAGAAAUUUGAUCCGAGUUAUUAUAUGAGUUCAAUGGUUGGGAUAUAUGGUAUUUUAUAGUGUUAGGAUUAUAGGAUAUGUACAAUUUGUUGCAAUGUUGGAUGGAUAUUGCAUGUCAAUUAACACUAAAUUAUGCAGAAAUAACAAUUGUGCAUAGUCUUUGGUGUCCUUAAGCUGAUCAAUAAAGUUCCCUUGGAAAGUUGAACCAGUCUACUUAGUCCAAAGACUCCAAACAAAUAUCAAUUGAGGUGCCAGAAUGAUGUGGUAAUCAGAUGUUUUUUAUGAAGUGCAUAUGCGAAUUUGGAUGAGCAAGGAUGAAUCAAGUAGAUGCAAGGUUAGCUGAACUGAUAUUGUGAUCUGUAUCGGUCGACUACCGGUUCGGCAUGGUACCGGUUCAGUAUUGUACCGACACACGGUACGGUAUGGCGGUCUGGUUUGGAAUUGGAAUGCCAUUUUUUUAUUUUUUAAAGAUUUAAUGAAAAGUAAUCAUUUUUUUAUUUUUUGAAUGAUUUUAAAUCUAAUUUGAUGUUUCUUGAUGACUUUUGAUAUAUUUAUCAUCCAAUACAUCUUAAAUGAUGCUUCUUGAUGUUUUCAAGUGAUUUUUCUGCAUUACCGUGGCAUUGCUCUGAAAAAAUGUUAUCUUGGAGAGGCAAAAACCUGGCAAAUCUGUGUCAUUAGGUUUGCUACCUCUAGUUUUUUGCAUGAGCAUCAUGCUGAAACCAAAAUAUAAAGAAAAAAGCUAGCGAUCCUGGCUUUGCAUGCUAGAGAAAACAACAUAAAAUAUCCUAAAAUCAAUUAAUGAAAUACAAAACGUACAAUGAUAUGAUUAAUUAGAUAUAAUACAAUAUACAUACCGAUAUCUAAAAUCUCGUCGAGAGGUGAUCUCUUUCGUAGAUAUCGAAAUUAUUAGCAUAAUUAGGAGGCAUAUCAGCCACCCCUCUAAUCAAGCGGUAUUGUAAUUUUGUACGCUCAUCCCAUAAGAUACGCGCUCAUCUCAGUCUCGGACUUUAGGAGGUAUCCUCUAG
rnacentral:lncRNA from 1 species